GGACCAUCACUCCGUUCCCCGACUAGUCCCGACUACGUUCUCAUUUCCUGAAGAGAACAAUGAAAGAAAGGGUGAGCUCAACUAGCCCAGUAGGAAAUAUUAUGACUAAGAUAAUGCAGAAUAAAUUAUCAUUAGCCUUCAACAAUAUUAAACUGAUAAAAUACAAUAGACAUCAAGUUUAACUGCAGUGGAACAAGCAAUCCAUUAAAAGAGUCAAGUAGAGAAUAGAAUCUACUAUCUUUUAUGAUUUAAAAAGUUUUUCAUCACUUUUAUCGCUGAGACUCAGCUCAAUAAAUAAUCCACAUCAUUAAAUCAUCCCUGCACUACAGGCCAAGGAUAUUCUUUAGUAUCACGACCACGAAUUAUCCAUGCACUACGGUCUAAAGAUAAUCGUGUUUUCAUCAACGGUCCUGAUCAUGCCAUAAAAUAAUUCAUCUUUGCUCCCUUGGCCGAAGAGAAUCUAUAGCCAUAAUCAUACCAAAAACUGUCCAUCAAUGCACUACGGGUCAAUGAGGACUUUUAAUUUUCACAUCAUUUGUAAUAUUACGGUCAUGAUUAUACCGAAUAAUCCCUGGUCAUAAUCAUACCAAGUCCAUCUAUGCACUACAGGCCACAUAUGACUUUCAAUAAAUAUAAACAUGAGGAUGAUGACAAUGAUAUAAGAAUUCAAUUAAACAAGUUCAAGAAUUAAAUUAUCCAGGAACUAAUAACGUCCAAAUUGUCAACAUGAUACUUCUUUGUAGAAUAAAAUUCAAGAAUGCUCAGAAGAAUAUUUCCAUAAAAAGAUACUGGAUGAAGCGCAAAUAUCAAGGAUAUUCCACUAAUUUCAUGGAGUAUAGAAGUCAAAUUUUUAAACAACUGAAUAUUAUACCGGAUAGAAUAACAAAAGAUAUCACCAUGCGUACGGUACUUCGCAUAGACAUGUUAUUCCAACAGAAUAAUAAAGACGAAACCAGGUCCGGUGUAAAACACACAGACAUGAUGUUCCAAUAGAAUAAUAAAGACGGAACCAGGUCCGGCGUAUAGCACAGACAGGAUAUUCCAACAGAAUAAUAAAGAACAGAAUAAUAAAGACGGAACCAGGUCCGGCGUAUAGCACAGAUAGGAUAUUCCAAUAGAAUAAUAAUAAAGACGAAACCAGGUCCGGUGUAAAACACACAGACAGGAUAUUCCAACAAAAUAAUAAUAAAGACGAAAUUAGGUCCGGUGUAAAACACACAGACAGGAUGUUCCAACAGAAUAAUAAAGACAGAAUAAUAGAAGAAUGUCACCAAGUAUAGGGUAGCCCGCAUAUACAGGUUAUUCCAACAGAAAAAUAAAGAAAUGGAAUAACAGAAAUUCUCUUCUUGAAUACAAAAGAAUAAUAUUCCUUACCGUAAAAGAAACUGAAUAUUCCGACUGAUAGGGUGAGAAUUUUCUUAAAGAAAACUUAUACUAUGUUCUUCGCUCAAAGUUUCUUAAAACUCUUAAGGAAAUACGCUCAAGAUUAUAGAAGGAGAAUUCUCUGAACUUCUGGUGUGAUUUCAAUUCUAACUAAGCUUCCUAUUUAUAGGAAAAUGGAAUGCAUAUUAACCAAUCCAUGAACGGUCCAGAUUGAUUUACUUUAAUCUGACGAUCCAUAUUUAAAGUAAAAUCUUUUAAAUAAAAAAUAAUAUAUUCUAAUUAUUGCCUAAUAAAACAAACAACUUUAUAAAAGUAUUUUGUUUUAUAUAAAAAGAUUUUACUAUGCAAAACAUUAUGCAACACUAUACAUAAUAAAAUAUAAUAUAUUCUAUUUAUAGAAUAACUUUAAUAAAGUAUUCUAUUUUAUAUAAAAAGAUUUUACUAUGCAAAAUACUAUGCACAAUAGAAUAUAAUAUAUUCUAUUUAUAGAAUAACUUUAAUAAAGUAUUCUGUUUUGUAUAAAAAGAUGUUUCUAUUUUAUUACGUUAAUAAUACUAAUAAAACAAAACUUCAUCAUCACUUACUUUGAAAAAUUUUCAAAUAUCAUCCUUAACUUUAAACUUUUAUCAAUUUAACUAUUCACCAAAAUAGAAAAAUUGAACACUUUUAUUUCAUAAAAUUUGGGGUCUCACAAUUACCCUUUAUUUCUCUGUUAUAAUUAGGCAAGAUGAUAGGAACUCUUUAAUUCUCCAACCUCAAUUUCUCUCAAGGUUUCUCUUGUUUUUUUUCUCUGAAUUUCUCUCAGACUUGCAAAAUAAUGAACUGACAAUUAUGUAUUUUAAAAACAACUGGUGCGUACAUGGGUAGCGGUUAAGCGCAGUAUGGUCUUAACUGCUCCCAUGUCUUCAAGGCCAUGUUUGGUUGCUCAUUAAAUUCCCUUUUUAAUUUAUUUUAAUUAACUUAUUUAUUAUAUAGUUUAUUUGUCACAUUUUUAAUUAAUCAAAUAAUAUUAUUUAACUCAAUUAAAUAAAAGGUAAUAUUGCACAUUAAAUCACAUCAUCACAUACUUAAAAUUCUCAUUUAUUAUUUAUCAAAUAAAUAAACCUCUAAUAAAUUAUUAAAUUAAUUAGAACAACAUUAAAAUUAUUUGACAACACAUUUAAUUUAAUUAUCUCAAUUAAAUUCUCACUUUGAUCAAUAACAAUAUUCCACAUUAAUUUAAUCAAUGUGACACACUUAAUUAAAUUAAUCUACCACAAUUCCAUCCAAGAUUUAUUUAACUCAAUAAAUAAAUCUAUAAAUAUUUAUUUAAUUUAAUAAAUAUUUAGAAAUUAAUUACAAAAUUCUCAUUCGUCACAUUAACUCUACUCAAUAUCUUAUAUUUUAAAUUAUUUGAAGUAAAUUUUUAAACUAAAAUUAUAAUAACAUGAUUGUAUAAAUGUUAAAAUAAAAAAAUAAAUUGAAUAGAUAAACAUAAACUUAAAAAAUCGCAACAAAAUAAUUUAAAAUAAUUAAAUUUUAAAACUACAAAAUAAAAUUAAAAUAAUUCUUUAAAAUACAAAAUACAAAAAAACUUAAAAAUAAUAAAAUCUAUCUGUUCCAUCUCCCUAAGAAUAUCACAUUCACGCUCUCGAGUAAUCCUUCUCGACAGAAAGCACCUUUAUCUCCUUAUGGUCGUCGACUUGUAAGCAUUAAGCCACUAAACUUUUAAAAAAUACAAUUAGUCCACUGUGCUUCUUAAAAAUAAAAAUUCAGGCAUUUUCGUUCAAUUUCUUGGACAGACGUCAAAUAUUUUCAAACGUGGCAUUAAAAAAAAUCAAAAAAUCAUUAUUUUAUUUUGUAGCAACACAAAAUAAAAAUAAAAAUAAAAAUAAAAAUAAAAUCAAUAAUUGUAACGCCCCCAAAAUAGGUAUACAUCACCCAUUUUGAGUCAUCAAUAGCAUGGUACAGAAAUAAAUACAACUUUAUUAAUACAACAUAAAAACUGUGAGUUUAAAUACAAAUAUUGUCAUCUAGACAAUAUUCACACCCAAAUAAGUCCUCAUUACAAUUAUUGGUACAUUAUUUUAUAAAAAUGGUAAGGACUACUAAAACAACUUUCUAGAACCUUCAUUCUAUACCCUGACUAAUACUCGCUACAUUCUCGACUCCUGAGAAGAAAAAUAGAACAAAAAAGAAAAGGGUGAGCUCAACUAGCCCAGUAAAGAACAUUAUGACUAAGAUAAUAUAGAACAAAUUAUCGUUAGUCUUCAACAGAAAAAAAUCUGAUAAAAUACAAUAGACAACAAGUUUUAGAUCAAUAUUUGCAGAAAAAAUAAUAACUCAUAGAUGAGUUACGUAGAGAAUGAAAUAUACUAUAAUCUAUGAAUUUAAAAGUCAAUCAUCAUUAUUUUAUCCUUGUAACAUCACAAUAUUCAUCUUGAAUCAAAUAUUCAUCUUUGCACUACAGGUCAAAGAUAUUCAUCAGUCGGUCAUGUUCAUCUCAACACCUGUACAUCUUUGCAUCACGAGCCAAAGAUAUUCAUAAUAAAAUCAACCAUCUUUGCACUACAAGCCAAAGAUAUUCAGUAAUACCAUCAUUUAGGACUGAGGAUGAUGAAAAAUAUUUUAAAGAAAACGAAUCCAGUGAAAUAAAAGAACAAAUAUUAAGGAUUCGUACUUUAAACAAUCCGAGUUCAAAAAUACUUCAUAAAUAAUCAUAGUGAAGUAAAAUUCAAGAAUGAUCAAAACAUGGAUAUAAUCAAAUAUAGUAUCCAUAAUAGAUAUUUUGGGACAAAAAAACAAAAUUUUAAUUUUUCUGUGAAUAGUGUCGUAUACGUGAAUAGUAACCCCGACACUAAAAGACAAGAAUUUCACAAGAAAAUUUUUACCAAUAUUCUGGCAUAAUGAUAUUAGAAGAAAUAAUAUCAUUUUAAAAAAAAAUAGCAUCCCUUACCUAGAAAAGACAGUACUUCUAGCUGAAAUAUCGGAUAUAGUGCUGAAGGGAACUUGCACCGUAUAACAACACUCAAAGUAUCAAAAUACUCACAAGAAUACGCUCGAUAAUAUAGAGAGAAAAAGAUAGAAAAACUUCAGUUUCUGGUGUGAUUUUUAAUUCUAACCUAAGCACCCUAUUUAUAGGAAAAUGUUUAGAACACCAAAGCAAAAAAAUUAAUAUAAUAUUAAUAUACUUGUCUUAAUUUUCUUAGCAGCCUUCUUUGGUCAAAAAAUCAGUCAACAACCCACCAAAAUCACAAAAAACGUUUUUCUUAAAAAAAAUAAUUAAAACUUUAAAAAUCAAUUAUUCUGGAUCUUCGGAACUUCAAUAAUUCAUAAUAAAUAGUAAUUUUAUCAGAAAAAUUUGAACCUUAUGUCCUUUUCAUAGGAAAUUCCAUUCUCUACAACUUUGCAGAAGAAAGUUUUUCCAAAUUCGAAAUAAAAAUUGACCGAAAUCCAUAAACGGACAAUUUUACAAACUAUAAUCAAAUUUUAGUCAAGAAAUGGGGUCCACAGACAUGAAAAACAUAUUUUAAAUAUUUUUAGUAAUAAAAAUACUUUUCCUCAUUUAUUAAUAUAUCACAUAUUUAUUAUAAAAAUAUCACCAUUAUUAUAUUAUUAAAAUAUAAUAAUAUAUUUAAAUGAAUUAUUUUAUCAUAAAAGAUAAAAUAACAAUUUUUUAACAAUUGUCACUUUAAAAUUGUCUCCAUCUAUAUUCACAUAAAAUGAAUAUUUUUCUUAUCAUAUGAAUCAAUAAUUAAGUAUUCACAAAUAAUAUUACAGAAUCAUAAUAUCGACAACUAGGCCGUUCCCAGGAAAGAGGGGGCUUUCCAAUAAGGAUUUCUCCUUACUGACGCUCAAUUAGGUGACCAAAUCUCUCCUUAGAUAGAACUUUACAUUGCCAAUAAUGUUAUCUAAUAAUAUUAUUCAAAUAAUAUGAAUUAUUGAUUUGAUAAAGAAAAAUACUGUGUAGUGACAAUUAUUGAAAUAACAAUAAUAUAAAAUAUCAACGUAGCAAUUAUUGAAUCAAUAAAAUAAAAUAUUGAAUAGUAACUACUAUAACAAUUAUUGAGUAGUGCCUUCUUACGUAAGAAUCAAUAAUUGAUGCAAUACAGUGUUCUACUGUGUUUUAACUACCGGAUAUUCCAACAGUAUUAACGGUAACACUAUGUCGUUAUUUAUAAAUAACUUAUAUUUAUCGUUUUCUUCAUCCACUCGCUUUCCGUUAUGGGGCCCACACAAGGCUGCGUCGUUGUACGAAUAUUUUCCGACAGUAAGAAUAUUCUCCGACCAAACUAAUAUUCCCCGACAACAAUGAAUAUUUUAUAACUACUUGCUUAUUUAAAAUAUUUGCGCAUUUUACCCAUAACUAACUACAUUAAUCAAAUCAACCCUUACUAUUUCAAAAUAAUAAAUAGAGGAAAUUUAAUUUCAUUUAUAAUAAGUUGGGGUCUUACAUUAAUUAUGUGGCAAAAAAAAUGACUAAAAUAAUAAUAAAAAUAAAAUAAAAAUUUUAAUUCAUUUUUUAUAAUUUUUUCUUUUCCUUUAUCUCUUUUCCUUUCUUUUAUUUAUUAUUUUUAUUUUGAGAAUUAAUAUUAAUAUUAAUACAAUAAAAUUAUUAAAUUUGGACUCUAACACCACCAAUCUUUUCUGUACAUGUAAUCUUUCCCCUUCUUCCUCCCGUGGCCGCCACAAGCACCACCAAUCUCUUUCCUAUCUCACCACCUCUUGACAACAAGCCCUACUUUCUUCACUCCAACCCCUUACUAUUUCAAGAUAAAAAAUAGAGGAAAUUCAAUUUUAUAAAAAGUUAGAGUCUUACAGAUAUAUAUGGUUUACUAACCUAUAACGACAGACCAAAUCAGCGCCCGAACCGUUGCUAUAGGUGGCACGCAUGCAGACCACCCACACCUGUAGCGGAAUGUAUAUAUAUAGGCAAUGAUUUAUAAUAAAUAAUUGUUAUGGAUAUUAUUUUAACAAACGCAUCUUCCACUGUAUAAUGUGAGAUUUUACUAGCGAAAUUAAUAGACAACUUUUUUUGUUAUCUGCCACUAUAAGAGUAGAUGCAUGGAAGAAUGUCCUAAAUAACAUCACUUUAGUUUUAUUUAAAUAGUUUUAAUUUAUUUAUUUAUAUAAAUAAUUUCUUAAAUAAUAAAUUUAAACAUUGUCAAUUAUAUUUAUUGUAUUUAUUUUUAUAAAUAAUUUUUUAAGAAAUACAAUAUAAAAUUUUCAAUUAUAUUCAAUGUAUUUAUUUGUAUAAAUAAUUUAUUGAGUAAUAAAAUUUAACUUUGUCAAUUAUAUUCAAUAUAUUUAUUUGUAUAAAUAAUUUGUUUAGUAAUAACGUUUAACAUUGUCAAUUAUUUGAUUAUUUAAAAUUUAAAAUUCAUAUUGCAAUACAAUGUGAUUUAAUUAAUAUAAAUUACAUUAAAAAUAAAUAUAGUAAAACUAUUUAAAUAUAACUAAGGUGUAUAUUUAGGACAUUUCUCUAUGCCUCUACUCUUACGCUCUGUUUCUGAGUUUUGAACAGAAAAGAAAAGAAUAGAAAACUUAAAUUAGAAUAGAAAAGAAAAGAAUAGAAAACUUGAAGUUUUUCUUUGUGUUGUUUCUGAGUUUUUAAUGGAAAAGAAUAGAAAAUUUAAAAUUUAGGACAUGAGUUGUAAUUUAAAAUUUAUUAUAUUAAAAGUUAAGGAUAAUAUGAGAAUUAUAAAAAUAUUACGUAUUCCAAUUUUUUUUCCGUCCAAAUUAGGCCAAUUUUGGACGGAAAACUUUGGCAGGAAAAGUGGCCAAGUUUUCUAUCCAUUUUUUUUUCUUUUCCGUUUAUUAAAAAACUCAGAAACAUAAGAAUUAAAAAGAAAAUUUAAUUUUUCUUUCCAUUUCUUUUCUUUUCUGUCUAUUUUAAAACUCAGAAAUACAGCGUUAGUAUAGACAAGUAAAAAAAUUGUCUACCCCUACUAAAGAGUAGAGGCAGCAGUUUAAUCUUAUCGAUACUAAAACUAGUGAUACAAGUUUAAGGAAAAUUCUAGGGGGAUAUUUUUUGUUGACAUUUUCUAGUGAUAUUUUUUUUUUGGUUUUUUUUUUGUAGUACCUCUUAAAAAAUGUAUAAUAUUUAUUUCAACUAAAAUUUUUGUAAAAAACAGUGUGUUGUACAACCCUGUUUCUUGUAUGUAUCCAAAUUACACCUAAAACACUAUUUUUUACAAAAAUUUCAGUUGAAAUAAAUAUUAUACAUUUUUUAAGAAGUACUACAAAAAAAAAAACCAAAAAAAAAGUCGUUACAAUGUUGCCAAAAAAUGUCGUCGUAGAAGAACUCCAAGUUUAAUCUUCAUAAAUAUCGUCAGUUAGAUUUCAUAUUGGAUGAUAAAAGAUGUAUUUACUAAAAUAAUGUCCAAAACAUUCAUUUGUUAUAUAUUAUUGAUAACAAAUAAUAUUUUAUUGUAUAAUAAUUUUUUAUUAUGAAAUUAUAUAAGCAUAAAUAUUUGAGUUUAAUUAAGAUUUUAUUAUUACAUAAAUAUAUAGAUGAACAUAGGAAUAUAGAAACAAAGAAAUCAUUUUAAAGAAAUCAUUUUAAAGAGGAAUACUAUCAUUUAUAUUAUAUAAGUAGAAGUAUUAUUAUUGUAGAAUUUUAAAUUUAUUUAAUUCUUCAUCAAUAAUUAGUUAUAUAUUAUUAGUUAAAUAAGAUAUUUUAGAAGAAAAUAUUUUUUUUAUAUAAAAAUUAUUGUACGCAAUAUUAAUCUACUAUUAGUAUAAUAUAAUAUAAAAAAGUGUAAAUAAUAUAAUAAUUUUAUAACAAGAAAAUCCCGUGCUUCGCAAGAUAUCAUAGCUAGUAAUUAAAUAUUCAAUAACACAUGAUUUAAGACUAAUUUAAAUUUAAAAAUUUAAGCCCUUAAUAUCACCCUUUUAAAUUUAAAUUCGUGUUUGGUAGGCUCAUUUGAUAGUUCUAGAGACGACAAUUUAAAUAGGAAAUAAAAAUAAAAAUAAAUUAAAGUAGUGAGUAAAAAAUAAUAAAUUUUUUUUUAACUUAACUCCUUAAUGGGACCCAAUUCGGGAAGGCCAGAUUCUUCUAUUUCAUCCACUUCUAUUUUUGUUGAUAUUAUUCUUGGCCUUUUAUCUUUUUGCUAAAAAAUGCAGUUCCCCAAAGUUUCUGGUAUUAUUUUUGAUAUUUUUAUUUUCCCAAAAAUUUAUAAUCACACUUUAUUUUGUGGCCAAUUUUUUCUUAGCAGUGAAGAUUUUAUUGUUUUUUGUUGCUUGUUAAUUAAAGAAUUUAGCUAUAUGUCAUUUGUCAUAUUCUCAAUGAUGAAGGCAAUAUUUUAAUAAAAGAAUAAUGAGUUUCAAGGAUUAACUAUCUAUCUUUAUUAUAAAAGUUUUGGUAAUUUUGUGUCACGUACAGUCACUUUUUUUUUACUCUUUUACUACUACAAUUUUAAAUAUAUUAUUAUUAUUAUUAUUUUGUAUCUAGUCUUUCAAAUUUUAUAAAAUUUUAAUUUUAUUCCAAAUAAUCUUGUAUUGUUAUAUAUAUGAGGGACGAUGCAGACAUUAUGUAUAGGUUUAUUUUUAAAAAAAAAUUAUUUAUUAAUUAGCUACUUGCGCAUGCUUACUAAAUUAAUUAUUUUUUCUAAUUUUUAUUUUCACUAAUUUUAGCAAAAAUAAAAUAUAUAAAGUAAAAAUAUAAAAGCAAAUUAAUGAAGUUAUUAUGCAUGCCCUAUAUUAUUGAUCCUAAGUAUUUUUUUUGAACCAAUAUUAGGUCACAUAAUUUUAAAAAUGAGAAUACUCUCAACCCAUAUAAGGUUGUAAAUGAAUUGAGCCGAGUCGAGCCGAGUAUUGAGUUACUCAGAUUUGGUUUAUAAAAUUUAUCGAAUAUAAAAUUAAGUUUGAUUGAGGCUCAUUUAACUACCGAGUCGAGUACGAUCUCGAAUCGAGUCCGAGCAGUUUGAAUUUUUUGAACAAAUAAAAUUCAAAAUUCGAGUAUCAAUAAAAAACUACAAUUUGAAGAUGUUCGAGUAAUAAUUUAUCAAAUUUUAAAAUUUAUUUAGAUUUGAAUCAUUUAUAUUUCAAUUCGAGCUCGAAUUAAUCUUUUAGUCAAACGAAUACAAAUCAAACUCAAUUAUUUACUCAUUUUACUGUCUAAAUUGCCCAUCUCACCGCAAUGCCAAAGGCCAAUUAAAGGGGCAUAUUAUGCUUAGAUAUGCCGCCAAAAUAACUAACCCUCUUUCUGAUGUAAGAUACGUACUAGUUACUGCUUCAUACUUUAUCCUUUUCGGGCAAUGCUACACAGACAGGUUAAUUGGACAGGUUUAUUGGAUAUUUUCAGUUUUUUUUUUUUUUUUCUUGACUCCUAAAAAAUGUAUAGUUUUUAUUUCAACAUGAAUUUUUACAAAAUAUAGUAUUUUAGGUGUAAUUUAGAUACAUAUACAAAAACAUAGUUAUACAAGACUUAUUCUUAUUAAGGGUAUCAUGGACCUUGUUGUGGGACCAAUUUCAUAACGACACGUGGCAAAUGAAUAGAAGUGGCUUACUGCUAGAAUUAGUUAAUCUUCUCACUCCCACUAGAUACUUGUCGAGUGUAUCGAUGGCCAGAAGGCUAUAAGUAAUGCUGUAAACGAAUCGAACCGAAGCGAACAUAUAGUUAUUUGAAUUCGACUCAAAAUGAUAAACUCGUACUCCAAUUCGAAUUGUAUUUGAAAAAUUCUACUCAGAUUCGACUCGACUCAAAUAUUUAUUACUUGAAUUCGAUUCGACUCGGCUCGAAUAUUUAUUCAAACUACUCGCGAGCUUCAAAUUCAAGCUCGAAUUCGAGUCUUCACAUAAUAACUAGUUUUAUAAUAAANNNNNNNNNNNNNNNNNNNNNNNNNNNNNNNNNNNNNNNNNNNNNNNNNNNNNNNNNNNNNNNNNNNNNNNNNNNNNNNNNNNNNNNNNNNNNNNNNNNNUAGAAUAAAUAUUAUACAUUUUUUAAGAGUCACAAGUAAAAAAAAAAAAAAAAUCACCUGUCCAAUAUUCAUGUCUAAAAAACCGGUCUGUGUAGACUUAUUCAUUCUUUUCUUCUGUCAGGGAUCCUUUUCUUCUGUCAGGGAGGAGCGAGAGACGUGGAGAAUAAAAAAAAGUCUUGGCAGACAUGAAAUUGGGACCAGAAAAUUGGACAGUUUUGAUUAUUUAUUUUUGACUCUAAAAAAAUAUAUAGUAUUUAUUAUAACAUAAAUUUUUACAAAACACUAUGUUUUUACAAUCUAUAUAACUCUGUUUUUAUAUAUGUAUUCAAAUUACACUUAAAAUACUAUGUUUUGUAAAAAUUCUUGUUAUAAUAAAUACUAUACAUUUUUUAGAAGGCACAAACAAAAAAAAAAAUAGAAAAAAUUCAAAACUGUCCAAUUUUCCGGUCCCAAUUUUAUGUCUGUGUAGUAUUACUCGGAGAAUAAUAUCCCAUGAUUUUUAUACGAGUCCGUUACAGGAUCUGUACAGUCUGUACACCUAUAUUUUUUGUAUGUGUCCAAAUUACACCUAAAAUACUAUUUUUUAUAAAAAAUUUAGUUGUAAUAAAUACUAUACAUUUUUUGAGAAUUACUAAAAAAAAAACACUAAAAAUGUCACUAAAACAAUAUCCCCUUAGACUUAUUGUUUUAAUAUUGUACACAUAAUAUAUUUUUUCUCACUAAUAAUAGAGGAGGUCUUAUAUCCUUUUAUUAUUAUUAUGACAAGUAAUAAUUGGGGCAUCCACAAUUAUUACUAGUGAAUUUAUUAAAAAUAAUUAAAUUCUUGUUUGUUUGUUUGUUGUUUAAAUAUCCACACCGGACCCCCAAAGUUUACAUGAUUUCCUUUUACUUUAACUAGGAUAAUGAAUAUUAUAAAUUAUUUAAAAAUUAUUAUUAAUUAUAAAAUUUAUUAUUUUAUAAUUUUAAUGAAUUAUCUUAAUUUAAAAUUUAAAAUUAAUUUUCAAAUAUCAACAAUGAUCUUAUAAUUGAAACAAAGACGUCUUUAAAUAUCUACCAGUCCAUAUACUCUUAAUUCCUAAUUUAGGGUUGCUAACCAUAUAAAAUUAUAAUAAUCAAUCUAAGUAUUUAAUUAUUACUUCAUCUGUUUUAAAAUUAGAUAUACAAUUUGACUUUUAAAAUCAAACAACGACAUAUUAAAUUUAAAAUUAAUGUGAAUUUAUUUAAUUUUAGUUGAUACAAUUAUUAUAAUUAUAUAAGAUAUAAAAAAAAUAUUAAUCACAAAAUUUAUUUUAUUCAAAAUAUUUAUAAAUUAUACAAAUUUUAAAAUUUAAUAUACAAUCAUUUGAUUUCAAAAGUAAAAUUGUAUGUCUAAUCACGAACCAAAGAAGACAAACAUUCCAAAAACCCAAAAAAAAAGAGAAGGGUCACAUAUCAGGAAACAAGUCCCCCGUAAGUAAGUACUUUAAAUAUGCUAUGCUGUAAAAGUUAGUUUCAAGUCAUAUAAGAUGUACCAACUCAGUAAAGCAACCACUUGAUUAAACCAAAUGUCAAGGUUCAGAUGAAAAUGUAAGCAUGAUAGGCUUUAAUUUUUUGUGGCUUCCAAAUUUCUGUUUUAUAAUUCUGAAUAUUUCUGGUUAAAUGUUGAUGUUUUUAUUUUUUUCUGAUAUCUUUUUGUGUAUAAAUGCCUAGGAUCAUCUGGGUUCGUUCAGAAAAAUAAUGCACAACCAAGAAUUUUAGAAAAAGUGCUUAUUUUCUGCUUAUAAUCUGCUUCCCUUUUGUUUCUUCAAAUGGCUCAACAGUCAAUUUAUGUGCCUCUUCUUUCUGGGAAAGGUGAGGGUUUUGAUUCUGUUAAGAAAACACCCCUUUUGAUAUCAUCUGCAAAAUGGGUUCUCAAAAUUGCAAUGUGGGGGAUUUUCAUUUCUUGGGUUACAUUUUUAUUUCUUUACCCAUCUGAAUUUGGGAAGGAAUUGAAUGGGAAAUGGAAUUAUGCUACUUCUGAAACUCUGUUUGGUGUCACAGGUUGGUUGGCAGCUUUAAUUCUGUUUAGCAUAAUUUUAUUAUUUUGAUUAUAUACUCAGUGAUCUUAAAUCCAUAAAAAUGCAGGAAGUGUAUUUCUGUUAUUCAGUGGUCCAAUUCUCAUAAUUGCAUUUCUGGCUAUAAUACAUCUUAUUAUCUCUGGGGAAGAGGAAAUUCACGAGUAAGUAAUUUGUUUUGUUGUAGGGAGUUCUUUUUUUCACUCUUAGCACUAUAUAUUUUAUUAAUUUUCUUAAGGCUAUGCUUGUUUGUAAAAAUGAUGAAUUGGAUAGGACUAUUUUUUACUUAUUUAAUACCAUUAGGGACUAUUGUAUCCCAUUAUUAGUUCUUUUUUUAAUCUAAGUCGUGUUUUGUCAUUUCUAAGGCCAUUGAUGAUAAUCCCAAGCGGAGAUGUGGUAUUAUAUAAUCCCUUUUUGAGGUAUCAAAUGACAAAUUAUAACUAAUAAUCCAAGAGAUAAAAUAAAGGACUGUUCAUGGGAUAAAAUAAUAACUGUUAAUGGUAUGAAAUUAGUACAAAUAGUUUUGUUCUAUACAUCAUUUUUGCAAACAAACAUAGCCUAAGAGUGAGCUUAAGAGUUUAUGUAGUAAUUCUGUAUAUAACAUUUUUCCUAUAGGAAAAAGAAACCGAAAAAGGCAAGCUUCCGCUUAUGGACAUUCCCUAUUAUUAUCGACGGACCAUUUGGGGUUGUUUCGGCUGCAGAGUUGAUUGGAAUUAUUCUGUUUUCUGUGUUUAUCAUAUGGAUUGUUUUUGCUUAUACUUUACAAAGUAUCAACGCAGUAUCCAGGUUUCCGACUUUUAAAGAGAAAAGGUAUGAUUUUAUGCCUUAAUGAUAUUAUCUUGGACUCUUUUUGCCUUCAGCUGAGAGAUUUUUCUAGUUUCUCUAGUUUUAGUACAAAGUUAUCGUUUAGUUUGUGAUAUUUCAUCCAUUAACUUUUAAAAUGUUAGUUUGAAAUAUUGAAAUUUAGUUCAGUUUGCUUUUCAUGGAUGUUUCGUUCAUAUUUUAAUAGUUCUACAUGCUUUUUGAUAAAAUAAAAUAAAAUGAUCCUUCUUCUAAUUACUAAGAGGCUUUUUGUCUUUUACAGAAGAAAGCUAGCUAGCUAGCUAGCUUAAAGUUCAUGUACGUCAAGCUACCUAAAUACCCUUUUUAAUGCAAUUUAUUGACAAUUCAUGUAAUUAUGAAAGUUCACUUGAUUCAUCAUCUGGUUACAAGAUUUGUAAUGAGCUUGCCAUGUAUGAUGCUUACUUUUUGAAGCAUAUCUCCCUUCACCUCCAACCAUAUUAGUUAAACACGCAAAAAGACACAUGCCUAGGUCCAAGGCGAGGCAAGGUGUACCUCUAGGGCCUUGUCUUGGGUAAGGCAAGGCACGUUCAAAGAGGUGCCCACCUUUUGGGCCUAGGUCAGAGGCUCAUGGCAUAAUUAAGGCGCAUCUUGAUGAAGUCUUCUAAAACAAGUCUCCAAGUAAUAUUUUGUUUCAUCUUCUUUUCGUCCACUAUUUUUCUUCUUUCUCCUCCCUUUUCAUUCUUCUUCUUUUUUAUGGAAAAAGUAAUCUAAGGCAUGACUUAAGGUAUUGAGUGUUUUGAUUUGGUGAGAUUGUUUGGUUUAAGGUAAUUGCCGAUGGAAAUUAAGGGUUGCCCUUCUCUGUUUUUGUUAGUUGAUAUGAGUAAAGACAUCCCAGUUACUGAGACUUUUACCAUCUUUAAGACCAUUAAUUUUUAUUUGAAAAUAAAAUAUUGGAGUAUACAAAUUUACAAAAAUAAAAUAAGUGCUACAAUAGUGGAGUAGAUUUGCGAUAGUAGAGUAGCUCUGCUAUAGUACAGGCUGAAGUUACUCUAAACUCUACGAUUUAAGUAAUGACUCUACGAUCAUUAAGUCAUGACUCUACGAUCUUUAAGUCAUGACUCUAUGAUCGUUAAGUCAUGACUCUACGAUCUAAGUCAUUACUCUACAAUCGUUAAGUUAUUAUUCUACGAUCGUUAAGUCAUGACUCUACAAUCUAAGUCAUGACUCUACGAUCUAAGUUAAGUCAUUCUGCGAUAGUAGAGUGACUUUGGCCUUUACUCUACGAACUGGGAUUCUACUCAACGAUCUUAAAGUUCUCUUUGAGCACUUCACUUCUUUACUCUGCUAGACUUCAACCCUUACAGUCCACAGUUUAAUUUUGCAGAUUAGGGCUCAAAGAAAAAAUCGAUUUAAAGCUAUAAAUCUUCCAUUAUGUCGUUUUUACAUAUUCUUAUUGCAGAUUCAUGAAAGAUUUAAUAGCUUUAAAUCGAACUCUUCUAGUUCUAGAUCGCUACUGCCACUAAAUGAGAUGAGAUCCAAAAGUAUUAAAUUGCGGAUUGACGAGGGGUAUUUUGGACACCAACCAAUCUGUAGAAUAUCCUUACUAGUAAUUGGACUAGAUUAACCGGUUCAAAGUUGAAUUUUGAUGUGGAUUAGUGUAAGUGUAGCUAGCAGUAGACGUCUCUUCCUCUCUUUCUGCAGCAACAAACGGACGAUAGCAGCAACUAGCAGUAACCAUAUUAGAUCUGGUUUUGUAACUCGGCUGGCCGCAGGUCCUACUAGCGGGUAACCACUUUGAAAAUCUAAAAAAACUCGAGGGCAAGUUAGUCAUUUCCCUGGCCAAUAGUCAGAGUUGCAUUGGCCACUAGUCCUUUUAGCGGCCGGGCCCAUACUCAAGUCGAUCUCGGCUAUUAGAUUUGCUAUUGGACGGUGAGAGAUCUGUUUGCUGCAAUAGUGUCCAUAACAUCAGUUUGCUAUGGAUCAUUCCCAUAUAUAUAUAUAUAUAUAUAUAUAGUAUUUUUUUGAGGUUGUGUGUGCUCACUUUGAUGGGGCGCACACCUUGCGUUGCACCUUGCUCCUAAGCUAAUGGGAGAUCUUGGCGUCUUGGUCUGCCUUUUGCCUAUGACAACUAUGUGCCCAACUUUCUGUCACUGUUGUUUAGUUCCAUUUUUAGUCAUUAAAUGAUAUCACUAUAUUGCUCAGCAAUGUCAGUGGGUUAAAGGUUCCAGAGAUCAGUUCAGAGCUGAUUCAUUUCAUGGAUUUAUGAGAAUUAUCUAUUGAUUUUUUCCUUCAUGUUCGUGUUCCGUAUAUUGCUGAAGUCUUAAACACUUGUAAUUGUUCUGUUUCGCUAAGAUUAUCUGGUACCAAUACAUGUAUUUUAUUGUGGUGCAUUUCAUUGUGAAAAGUCCGUGUCCACUUAACUAGUCUAUUUGAUUCAUCUCAAAAGAUCAUUGACCUACGAGGGACAGGGAAAUAUCAUAAUGCUCACCAUGCACAAUUUGGAUCUUUAAAUUAAUUAAUUUUGGUCCAGAUAAAGGAAUACCAUUUACAAUGCAAAUUACUAAGCAAGUAGGACUCUUUUUUAAAAAUAAAUAAAGAAAGAAAAUAAGUUCUGGAUGGAGGGAGUACUAUUUGUUCUUCUUAGAAUUUCAACUUCAAUUUUACUUCUUUUCUUAAUAUCCUAUCUGGUCAUCGACUCAUUGACAUUGUAACUUAAAAACUUUUUCCAGUAUUGAGAUGCUGGCACUGUCAGGACUUCGCUUUGGAUUGCUUGGAUUAUUUUGCUUAGCAUUUUUGUUUCUGCCAAUUUCAAGGGGAUCAGUUCUUCUCCGACUUAUAGACAUCCCUUUUGAGCAUGCAACCAGAUAUCACGUAUGGUUGGGACAUCUCACAAUGAUGAUCUUUACUCUUCAUGGCCUAUUCUAUGUGAUUGUGUGGAUAAUAAAGGGCGAACUUGUAAAUAAAGUGAGUCCUAAUUUAGUGAUUCACUUCAUUGAUAUAUAGACUUGCAUAUUUUGUACAUACGUACAAAAACAGUUGUGAUUUAUAUAUUCAUGCUUAUAUGCUGUAUGUUUCUCAAAUUCAUCUUAUUGUGCUGUUGGCUGAAGACAUCAACAUAUACCCAAAUAAUGAAAGCUUGCGCGGUACACUAGUCAAAACCAUUAAUUUUUUUAGUUCUUUUUAAGUAAGACACCAUUCACUAAGUUGCGCUCUUAAUAAAAACACAAGUAAGUUUAGGUGAAGAAGAGUAUGAAGAAUGGCUUUAAGGAGAUGCUUGAUCUGUUUGCAUACACCUUCAAAGAAACUAUAUGAAUUAGGGUUUAAAUAUUUAUUAUUAGAAGUGGAUUGAAAACCAUUGAAGAGUAAAGUUUGAUACUUAGAACUAUUGAUAGUCCAUCUUACUGGAUGCCCCUCCUUUCUGGACUUAUCUGCCAUGAUUUUGCCUCUGGUGUCCAGGAUUUUUUGUUAAUCCCUUCAUAGGCAUAUAUUUCGUAUCCAAGCAUAAAUUAGGUGCUAAAUUUAGUUUGGUUUCUGGAUGAGGGCAGUCUAUCUUAUACAUUAUAUAAUUAUAUUCUAUUCUUCUGUAGAACUGAAAAGUGUUGGGAUCAUUUGUGGAGCAUGAAUCGUUUUGAACAUCAAAAUAUAAGCAUGCAAAAUUGUUUUGGUUUAUCAUUCCACUCCAUACCUUCUAAAUCUUUGUGUACAUUACAUUCAUUGUAUACAGAGGUAACUGUGUCAGACAUAUGACAAACAACAUUAAAAACUAGUUUGCUUCUCCAACUUUUUAGUAGAAUACUAAAACAGGGUUUAUUUCUCUUGCAUCUGGUUAACUAUUAUCAUAAAAGAGCAUAUGAUGUCAAAUGUGCACAGAUUUCAAAAUUCCUUUCAUACCAUUGUUGGAAAAGUUUUUAUAUGCCUUUUGAAUUUAGUCUAAGGGCACCUUUAGUAAUUUCAAGGAAUGACAGACCACAAUGUGGAGAAAUUGUUGACGGAAGAAAAGUUUCUGUCAAUUCUAAUUUCCUCGAUAAGAUCUCUCCAAUGGAAUAAGAUGCUAAAAUUUUCUGCUAUGUUAUUUUAUGCAGCUAUUAGAGUGGAUAAAUAUUGGGGUUGCCAUUCUUCCUGGAGUUAUCAGUCUUUUAUCUGGUCUGCUGAUGUGGGUGACAUCCCUUCCUCCAGUGAGGAAGGUAAAUUUUGAAUUGUUCUUCUACACUCAUCAACUGUACGUAGUCUUUGUCGUCUUCUUGGCCUUGCACGUAGGGGAUUUCAUUUUCAGUAUAGCUGCUGCAGGAAUAUUCCUCUUUAUGCUUGAUCGUUUUCUUCGAUUCUGUCAAUCCCGAAAGACUGUUGACAUAGUUUCAGCCAGAUGCCUUCCUUGUGGAACAGUUGAACUAGUUGUUUCAAAACCUGCAAGUAAUUACACUUCUUCAUGUAAUAGAUUUUUUUUUAAGUAGUUCUUCAAGGAUUAAUUGGAUCCUUCAUGACUAUAUAACUUCCCUUCCCAAUUUAGGUCUGCGCUACAAUGCCCUCAGCUGGACUUUCCUUCAAGUUCGAGAACUAUCUUGGCUGCAGUGGCAUCCUUUCAGUGUUUCCUCUAGUCCUCUAGAUGGUAAAUACCAUCUUGCUGUUCUCAUAAAGGUUCUAGGUGACUGGACAGAGAAAUUAAGAGGACGUAUUGCGAAUUCUGAAGAGGGAAUUCGAAAAGAGCUUCUCCUGCAGCCUCAUUCUAACAUAAAGGCUUCUGUAGAGGGACCUUAUGGGCAUGAAUCUCCAUACCAUUUGACGUGAGUACUCGACUCUUUGGAUUAGAUACAUGUGCCUACCAGUUGGUGGAUACCAUGGCUUAGCUUUAUCCUAUAUCAAUUUAAGUAAAACUGAUGCGGAGAGAAAAAGUAUUAGAAUUGGAAAUAUUUUAAUGUUCCUAACUAAUUCAAAACAAGUUUUACCUCCAUUUGAUGCCUUUUUUUUACUGGAUAUUUAUGUAACUUAUCUGACUGCACCAUAUAUAGAAGUCGACAAAGUUACAAAUGGUCAUGCAGAGGGAGUAAAGAAGGAAGAAAUAACCUUCACAAGAAAAAUAUGCCUGAUUGCCUUUCAGCAUGUUCUAUUACAGUAUGAAAAAUGCUGUAUUGAAUCAUCUGUUUUACUUAUCUAAGUUAAAGUAAAAUUUUCUGGUGGAUUGACUUGGCUAUUUUUUUUCUUCUUUAGGUAUGAAAACCUCAUAUUAGUUGCAGGCGGCAUUGGAAUAACUCCAUUCCUGGCUAUCUUGAAUGAUAUUCUCCACCGUAUAAACGAGUGUAAACCUUGUCUACCAAGAAAUAUCCUUAUAGUUUGGGCUGUGAAAAAAUCGAAUGAGCUUCCGCUUCUUCAUUCAGUUGAUAUGGAGUCAAUCUGUCCAAACUUCUCCAAUAAACUGAACCUUGAGAUUCAAACUUAUGUCACCAGAGAAUCGGAACCUUCACUGGUAGGUCUAGAAGUUUAUACCAUGCUCUCCUAGCAAAAUAAAUAUACUCAAAAUCAGUUAUUCAUGUUCUGAGACACGACUUCUUAACUGCAGGAAGAGGGUGAAAUUCACAAAUCUGUUAGUUCUCCUGUCUUCCAUGUCUCCAAGGAGUGUGGCAUGUCUGUACUGGUCGGAACUGGAAAUAUCAUAUGGUCUGGAAUUUAUGUUACGUUGUCUACAAUUGGCUUGGUGAUUUUCCUGGGUUUGUUAGAUAUAUAUUACAUUAAUCCUUAUAAUAUAACUCACUGGUGGUACAAAGGGCUUCUAUUUAUAGCUUGCAUGGCUGCUAGUGUUCUUAUCUUUGGUGGUCUCGUGGUCGGUUUAUGGUAUCUUUGGGAAAGAAAAGUUUCAGGAAGGGAGGAAUCUGAGGAUGAUGAGAAAACUGUAAUCAUGCAGCAUAAUGAGCCUUCAGUUGACAAGGAUUCACACAAGGAACACUUUUCCAAAACUAUUUGGUAUGGUCAAAGACCAGACUUCAAAGGUAUGUCCGUGGCAUUUAGUUUCUUUUUCUUAAAGAUAAACAAAUAGAGAGAGAAAAAGGAAUCUGAACUUCAUCAACAUAGUUGAACAAAGUGAGUUUUUUUUUUAUAAUCUGCGAUUGUUAACCAACUUUAAGAGCAUGAUGCAUUCAAACAUUAUUUGAAGAUUUCGCACUAUAGUUAUUUUUUUGCUUUCCUUAAUUUGAUAGAUGCUUGUUGCUUUAGAUUCACCAAGGUCAUUUUACUUGCAUCUAGUAUCCAUUCGAACUAUGCCUAGAAGCUAUACAUAAAUAGAAAGGGGUACUACGGAAAUGUGGAACUGUCUACACUUGAAUACCUGUCCAACUGGUGCUAACUUUACCUUAAUUCUACGUUCACUUGUUAAUCAUUUACUGAAGAACUUGAAAAAUCAUUUGAUUUACCUGUCUGGCCUGUUAUUUAUAUCAAACCUCCUUUACUUUUAUUAGGUAAUUUUUACAGUACUACUUGCAUUUUUAUACUCCCUCUGUACUGAAAAAUGAACCCCUGAUAUAGUUUUUUUUGGGGAAUUGAUAUUUUCCACAAGAGAAUUUGAUGGUUCUACAUGAAUAGUAAAUGGACCCACAUUCAUGUGAGUAAGAUCUUGUGUAAAUAUUAGAUUCCCGUUGUGGAAAUAACAAUUCCCUUUUUCUUUCUUCUUAUGAUCUUUUUUCUGUAUUAAACUUAAAACUUUAAAGACUAAAAUUUAUUAUUGAAUAAUAUUUAUGUCUAACUUUAUCAGUUUAUCCUAUUGAGUCCUUAAUAUUAGGAAAAAAGAAAUCCGCAAAUUAAGUAGGAUUUUUUUUUCUCUGAUGGAGGGAUUAUUCUACAUAUUGUAAAACAAUUCACAUUAUCAUUAUUUCAAAUUUUACGUACUAGAGGCUAAAACUUCAAGUUUCCUUUGAGAAAAUUUGAAUAUGACUCCCCCGAACUCAGCUUACAACUUUCAUCGUGUUGUGCUCUCCAAAGAGCAACUCUUCUCAAAAUCUCACACAAAAUGUGCUGUGUAACAAUUAGCCAAUAUACCAUGAGAUGGUAUAACCCCCUUGUCCAUCAGAAAUACCCGAUACUGAGGAAUAAAAAAUAAUCAAAUUUUCCUCUAGAUCCUUUUCUUGAAGCUCAAUCUCUCCCCUGGAUGAACCAUAUAACCAAGAGAAACCAUGAACCAGAAUAGAAGAGCUUUCCCCACCGUCUCUGAAAAAUGGACAAAUUCCUUUUCUUAGGAACAAAUACAAGAUCCAUCACAAAAAGGAUAAUGGCCUUUUCAAAUCUUUAAAUAAACUGUGGUUCCACUGUAUUGAAAAGCUUUUAUUUUAUCUCCUUGGAACAAUUAAUACCUUACUUUCUUGCUUGAUAAUCCUUAACCUGAGCAUCUGAGAGAAAACACCGAAAAGAAUCAGUUGCAUGUAUUAUCGUAAAGGUGGAUGAAACAUUAAGAUUUAAGAGUAGAAGCAAGUAAACUACUAGUUUGUGUUGCAUCCUUUUGCAGUUGCAAAAUCCAAGAACCAACCCCAUUCCCUUUGUCGAGGCAGAGAAUGAAUAAAUUUUCUGAACAAGUUGUUGCAGUUUGUUAAGUAGAACAAAAAUAUCAUCUUUAAAUAUAAUUGAACUUCAAUGUCGUAAAUGUCAGUAAAUAAAAAGCUUUAAUUCUUUUAUCCGGUUUUCUUGACUCUGCUGUACUCAUCUGGCUGCAGAAAUUUUUGGGUCCAAGGCAGAGAGGUGGGCAAAUGUUGAUGUUGGUGUCAUUGUGUGUGGUCCUUCAACUCUUCAGACGAGUAUUGCUAAAGAAUGCAGGACACUUAAUUUUGGAAGAAGAAGCAAUCAACCGAUCUUCCAUUUUAAUCGUCACAGUUUCGACCUAUAGUUACCACCAGACGUAUAUCUUCCGAAUGCAAUGUGGCUCAGAUAGGCAAGAAUGUCCCUAAUAUGGACCUAGACUCGUGUUUUUGGCGAUAUACGCAAGCUCAAAAUGUUAUAUAGUGGGUAUAUAAGUUGGAUAAUUUGAAGGGGUAGGUAUUUCUUAGGGGAUCUUUAAUUCAAUAGCUCAUAAGGAGGUAUAUAAUUAAGUUGUAUAACUGUAGGUGGAGGUAUUACUUGGGGAUCUAUAGUUCAUAAUCUGUUAAUAUGGUGCAAUAUAUACUUUUAGCUAAUAUGUAGAGUUGAGCACUCCAAUAUAUAUAUAUAUAUAUAUAUAUAUCUAUUUUGGGGGCGUCACAUAAUAUAUAUUGUGAAUAUUUAUGUUGAUUUUUCGAUUGUGACAAGUAUUUAGUGGUAAUUAUUUUUAGACGUGUACAUGGGUUUGCGGACAAUUAUUUCUAGACGUGUACAUGGUUUAUUCGGUUAUCGGCAUUUGUGGCGCUAGUGUUUGUAGCGUUUAGACUUCCAAAUACACAAUAUAAAAUUAGUAUGGUGUGUUUGAAUGUUUAAAUACUACAUUUGUGAGAGUUAAAUAAGUUAUAUUUAAAAUAAAUUGCUAGUAAAGGAAUAAGAUUUUCAAGUAAACAAAUGUACACAUAAAUGCUACUUUUUGUUGCUUACUAAAGAUUAAGUCCAUAUUAAAAUACAAGAUUCAACCCAAGUGUAUUUUCAUGUUGAAAAGUAAAAUCUACUAUUAAUGUAGUAUAAACUUAAUUUAACAGAGGUUGGGCAAAUUAAUAAUACUGUUAUGCCUCUCUUUUUCUGGUCACAUCUCAUUUAUUAUAUUAUAGACUAAAAGACAAUUUGAACUUCAAAUUUUAUUCUCUAUUUACUUUUGCACCCCAAAUUUAAAAAGGUGUCUAAAUACAUCCCAAAUUUCAUUAUAUGUAACAAAACGCACACUUUCUNNNNNNNNNNNNNNNNNNNNNNNNNNNNNNNNNNNNNNNNNNNNNNNNNNNNNNNNNNNNNNNNNNNNNNNNNNNNNNNNNNNNNNNNNNNNNNNNNNNNUUAGUUGUUUAAAAAAAAAAAAAAGGUUCGGAUUUUAAACCUGUCCGGGCUCCCGGACAGGAUCCGGCCUCUCUCUCUAUAUAUAUGUAUAUAUAUGUAUCUAUGCACAUAUAGAUGCUUUCCCAGUCUCAAAUUUAGAAAUAUAUUUUAAUUUUUUGAAGUUAAUUUGUGACUUUGCGAAAUCUUAAAGCUCAAUACAAAUUUAUAAACUAACUAAAAAGUAACACUACUUAUCAGUUAUUAUAUUUGUUGUGAUUCGAAAUUCAAAUGAAUUGUUAAUAAUUUUAAAUCUUAGUAGUUCACAAAGCUAUUAUAUUUACACAAAAGAAUGGUUAUCUGGAAAUUCUAGGUAAAUAUCCUAAAAUAAUAUGUUUAUAAUCUUAAGUAACUUUUCUACAUUUUUUUUUGGGAAAAAGUAGCAAGCAAAAAGAUUAGCAGCACAGUUCGUUCAUCUAAGAGGCCUGAAAAGUGGAAAUCCAAUACAAUCAAAGUUGGGUUUUAUUGGCCCAAUCGAUAAUCCUAGUCCUAGGGACCACAAUAAAAUGACAACAAAUACUCCUUUAAUUAGUACUAUAAAUAGAGUCUUACAAAUAUUAAGUGCCUAUUUUUAUUUUGAGUUUACCACGAAAUAAAAAGGAAAAUAAUAUAUAUUGUGAAUAUUUAUGUUGAUUUUUCGAUUGUGAUAAGUAUUUAGUGGUAAUUAUUUCUAGACGUGUACAUGGGUUUGUCGACAAUUAUUUGAAGACGUGUACAUGAUUUAUUCGGUUAUCCGUAUUUGUGGCGGUAGUGUUUGUAGCGUUUAAACUUUCAAAUACACAAUACAAAAAUUAGUAUGGUAUGUUUAGACGUUCAACUAGCGCAUUUAUGAAUUAAAUAAGUUAUAUUUAAAAAUAAAUUGCUACUAAAGGAAUAAGAUUUUCAAGUAACCAAAUGUACACAUAAAUGCUACUUUUUGUUGCUUACUAAGAAUAAGUCCAUAUUAUAAUACAAGAUUCAACCCAAGUGUAUUUUCAUGUUGAAAAGUAAAAUCUACUAUUAAUUUAGUAUAAACUUCUUAGUGUAACAGAAGUUGGGCAAAUUAAUAAUACUGUUAUGCCUCUCUUUUUCUAGUCACAUCUCAAUUAUUAUAUAGUAAAGCAAUCACUUUUCCACUUGAUAAACCAAAAGUUCAGCUGUUCAGGGGAGAAUUUAAGAAGCUUUAAUUUUCUGUGGCCUCAAAAUUUCUGAUUUAAUUCUUAAUAAACCUGGUUAAUGUUGAUGCUUUUUCAAGUCUUUUUGUUUAUAAAUGACUUAUGCUCAUCUGGGUCUGUUCAGUAGCAUAAAGCACAAGCAAGAAAUUUAGAAGAAAAAAAAGAGAGAGAGCUUAUUUUCUGCUUAUAAUCUGUUUGCUCUAUUGUUUCUUCCAAUGGGUGAACAAUCAGUUCAUGUGCCUCUUCUUUCUGGGAAAGUAGAGGGCUUUGAUUUUGUCAAGAAAACACCCUUUUUGGUAUCAUCUGCAAAAUGGGUUCUCAAAAUUGCAAUAUGGGUGAUUUUCAUUUCUUGGGUUACAUUUUUGUUUCUUUACCCAUUAGAAUUUGUGAAGGAAUUGUAUGAGAAAUGGACUAAUGCUACCUCUGGAACUCUUUUUGGACAACAAGGUUGGUUGGCAUCUUUAUUUAGUAGCAUAUAAUGUAUAAGAUAUUGACUAGUUAUUGAUCUUAAAUUCAUCAAAUUACAGGAAGUAUAUUUCUGACAUUCAGUGGCCCAAUUCUCAUAAUUGCUUUUCUGGCUAUAAUACAUCUUAUUAUCUCUGGGGAAGAGGAAAUUCAGGAGUAAGUUAUUUGUUAUAGGGAGUUCUUAUGUUUUCAGUCUUAGUAACAUGCUUCUUAGUAUCAUUUUCUUAAUGAGUUUCUGGAGUAAUUGUGUAUAUAAAAUUUUGUGUAUAUGUAGGAAGAACAAGAAGAGUCCAAAAAAGGCAUGUUUUCGCUUAUGGACAUUCCCUGUUAUCAUAGAUGGACCAUUUGGGGUUGUUUCUGCCACAGAGUUGAUUGGAAUUAUUCUGUUUUCUGUAUAUAUCAUCUGGACUGUUUCUUUCUACAUUCUACAAAAUCUCAGCUCAUUAUCCGGGUCUACUUCGACUUUUGAAGAAAAAUGGUAAGAUUUUAUGCUUUAUUAAUAAUAUCAAUGACUUUUUUUUUUGCCUUUUGUUGAGAGUUUUUUUCUCUCUGGGUUUGAGUAGAAAGCUAUUGUUUACUUGGUGAUAUUUCAUUGAUUUAAUUUUGCAAGUGUUAGCAUGAAAGAUUGAAAUUUAGUCCUGUUCGGAGUCCAUGGAUGUCUUAUCCAUAUUCUGAUUGCUCUACAUUCUUUAUAAGAAAAAAUUGCCCCUUCUAACUACUUAGAGGCUUUUCAUCUGUUAUAGAAGAAAUCUACUAGCUAGCUUAAAGUACAUGCUCAUGUAAUUAUGAAAAUUUACUUGGUUGAUGAUCUGAGUUAUAAAAUAUGUAAUGAAUUUGUCAUGUGUGAUGCUUAGUUUUGAUUUUGGAAGAAAAUCUCCUUUCACUCCAAACUUUCUUUUAAAGUUGUAAAUGAUAUCAGUACUUAGCUCUGCAAUGUCAGUGAGGAUAUCUAUAGAUCUCUUCCCUUCUCAUUCGUGUUCCAUAUAUUGCUGAAGCUUUCCUAAACCCUUCUUUUAUAAUUGUUCUAUUUUGCUAAGAUAUCUACUUCCUUACAUUAUUUCCAUGCAUUGAAUCUUUGAACAUAUGCAAACUAAAACUCUAUUUUACCAAAAGUUUAUCCCAAAGAUAAUUUUGCAGUGCCUUCAUGCCAAAUUGAGUUUUUUUUUUUGGGUGUUUAACUUUCUUUGUGGUUUCUCAGUUGAUGCUUGUGUUCAUGUUCUAAAGCUUAUAGAUAGGAUCCAGGAACCUAUAGGAUUAGUUGAGCCUGGUCCGAUAUAUGAUCUUUAGGUCAUUAUUUAACUUUUUAAAAGUGUAAGAGGGAAUAUGCCUCUGCAUUGUUGGGAGUAACCUGGAUUGAGCCCAUGCUCACAUUAAUUUGUUUAUAUAUAAUUUCAGACUGAAACACUUGGCGAUCAGAGUUAUUAUCUUCUUUAAAAACUUAAUUAUACAUUAGAAUAGCUCGCGGUGCAUUUCUUAAUGAAACGUCCAUGUACACUAAAAUUGUCCAUCUGAUUCAGUUAAACAAAAAAAUCCUCGGCAUAGACAAGGGUCAAUGAAAUAUCUUAUUACAUAGAAAAUAGCUCUCUUUUUCCUCUGUCUAGUAAUAGAAGUACUGUUUUCCAUGCAAAUUACAUAGAAAAUAGCUCUCUUUUUAUCCAUAUGCAAGGAUCACUGCUUUUUUUGCCAAUAGAUUUUUAACUUCAUUUNNNNNNNNNNNNNNNNNNNNNNNNNNNNNNNNNNNNNNNNNNNNNNNNNNNNNNNNNNNNNNNNNNNNNNNNNNNNNNNNNNNNNNNNNNNNNNNNNNNNNNNNNNNNNNNNNNNNNNNNNNNNNNNNNNNNNNNNNNNNNNNNNNNNNNNNNNNNNNNNNNNNNNNNNNNNNNNNNNNNNNNNNNNNNNNNNNNNNNNNNNNNNNNNNNNNNNNNNNNNNNNNNNNNNNNNNNNNNNNNNNNNNNNNNNNNNNNNNNNNNNNNNNNNNNNNNNNNNNNNNNNNNNNNNNNNNNNNNNNNNNNNNNNNNNNNNNNNNNNNNNNNNNNNNNNNNNNNNNNNNNNNNNNNNNNNNNNNNNNNNNNNNNNNNNNNNNNNNNNNNNNNNNNNNNNNNNNNNNNNNNNNNNNNNNNNNNNNNNNNNNNNNNNNNNNNNNNNNNNNNNNNNNNNNNNNNNNNNNNNNNNNNNNNNNNNCCUUCUUUUCAAAGUAUUAUACUUGGUAAUUGACUGAUAGACUUUGUAACUCAAACUUUUCCAGUGCUACAAUGCUGAAACUGACAGGAGUUCGCUUUGGAUUUAUUGGUUUAUUUUGCUUGGCAUUUUUGUUUCUGCCCAUUUCAAGAGGAUCAGUUCUUCUCCGCCUUAUAGACAUCCCUUUUGGGUAUGCAACCAGGUAUCAUGUAUGGUUAGGACAACUCACGAUGACGAUCUUUACUCUUCAUGGCCUAUGCUACGUGACACUGUGGACCAUUCAUGGCCAUCUCUUACGUAAAGUGAGUCCUACUUUAUUGAUCGACUUUCAUUGACAUAUCAACUUGCAAAUACUUGAGACUCAUCAUCAUCAAUGAAUAUUGCCCUAUGUUUUUCAACUUCAUAAUAUUCUCCAUCAAAAUGUUUUGUUCACCAUUCCACUCCAUACCAGCUAAAUUUGCGUGCGUGCGUGCGUGUGUUUAUAUACAACCUCCAUCCGCAGAAGGAAGCCAACAGUGCAACAAGUUUAAAACAAAAAAAUUGUCCACCAAAGGAUGUCUUUAGUAUAAUUCAACUAUAAAAUGUGAACGGAAAUGUUUCAUUAGUGUACUUAUGUGAGGUUCACUAUGUAUAAAAUUGGAACUUAGGAUAUACUCUCCCCUCUACUUUAAUUUUCAUAGUUUGUGUGAGAAGUCUACUUAAUACAUCCUUUGGGGGACAGGGGUUGUAUAUAUUUAUAUAUUAGCGCAUACAGAGGUAACUGCAUCAGAUAUGUGGCAAACAAUAUUCUAAAACAUUCUUUCUUCUCUAACUUUUAGUAUUUACUGAGGACAUGGUUUAGCUUUCCUGCAUUUGGUUAGCUAUUAUUAUUACAGAGCAUAUGAUUUCAAAUCUUGCCAAGAUUUUGAAAUUUCUUUCAUGUCAUUGUUGGGAAAGUUCUUUAAAUGCCUUUUAAAGAUAGUCUUAGGGCGCCUAUAGUCAUUACAAUAAAACAAUGUGUGCAAAUAGUUUACGGACGAAUAGUUCAUGUUAGUUCUAGGUUUUGUUGAUGAAAGUCUAGUAAUAAUAGAAGGGGGUUGAAUAGAUUAUUACUGUUUAAAAUUUUAUCUUCGAAUUUUUAAAAUUUUUAGUUAAUUAAUUUGUAGUGUUAAAAUUAAUAUACAAGACAAUAAAAAUUCAAUCAUAUAAUGCACAAAGAUUUGUCUAUUUCACAACAUACAUCUUGGUAUGUUGCUACGUCCAGUCUCCUGUGUUACUCGGACUCGCCAUUUUUGGUGGAGUACCCGAUACGACACGACACGACACGACACGACACGACACGACACUGGUACGGGUGCGGGAUCCGUACGGGAUCCGGCCACAGAAAUCGGAUACGCAACAUCAUCGGAGAAAAGAAGAGAUGAGGAAGGAGGAGGAAGAAGAAGAAUGAGGAAAGACUGAAGAAAAAGGACGAGUUUGUCGUCUUUUUCUUCUUAAAUAUCAUUGAACAAUUACAGUUAGGUACCCUAUAAUUUUUUAUAAUUUUUUAAUUUAGUCCCCCAAGUUUUCUGAAAGUUCAAAAUAGCCCUUAGAAAAUUACAUAUCAGUCCCUAUAGUUUUGUUUUCUUUCAUUUUAACCCCUAAAGUUUCAAUAGUUUCAAUUCUGUCCUUGUUUCUUUAUAUUUUUGCACUUCAACCCCUGAAGUUUCAUGAUAAAUGCAUGUCUAUAAGAAUUUGGACAGUAUAAACAUUAUUAUUAAAAAAUCAUAACAUACCGUAUCCCCGCACCCGUGUCCAAAUUUGGAUCCAUAUCCGCGUAUCCUCUAUAUUUUGAUUUCACGUGUCCGACACUUCGAUUCGUACUCGCACCCGACACCCGCACCCGAGUCGAUGUAACACAGCCAGUCUCAAGCUCCUCUCCAGGACUUGAGAUUCUAUUACUCCCACUAAUAAAUACUCCUUCAACAGGCAGAGAAACCUUUAAAAAAUUUUAUAGACAAACUUCCUACUGUACACAACUAAUUAUUUUGGACAGUAAGCUCUCAGUUCCCUCCUCAAGCUUAGUUACACAUUUUCCUUUGAGUUUAGUUCUACUUUAUGAUCUGGUCUUGAAACGACAACCUCUUCCUCACCUCAAAAGUACACUAGAGACCCAACUCUCAGCUGACCUCUCUAACACUCGGGUCUUGGUCAAAUAAUUACUUGUCUUUCUCACAGACACAUAAAAUAAACCAACUCCACCAUUUCCCCUUUUUACAAAAUGUUUUGACAGAAUUUUGCUUCUAAAAUAAGCAAAUACAAUUUAGUACAAAUAUAUAAAAGUUUAAAUAACUUUUAUAUUUAAGGCUUCUCAAAUCAGCAAAUAGCAGUUAAAGAGAAAAUAUAUUUAUAAAAGUUCAAAGACUUUUAUACUUGAGAAAAUAUACUUCUUUGUAAGCAGAUAAUAAUUUAUGUGUAGAUCAAAUAAUGCUUCUAUGUAAGUAUAUGUGUAAUUUUAUGCACUGUUAUAAAAGUUUAAAUAACUUUUAUAACUUUUAUAUUUUGUGUUAAAAGUUCUUCUUGAAUACGCAAGUAUAUAAAUUUAAGCUUGUUAUAAAAUGUGCUUCUGUUUAAGCAGAUGUAAGACUUUUGUUCAGAUUUAAUUUUCUUUGUAUAGUAAAGAAUGUGUUUGUAUGGAAAACAGAUUUAUCUUUAAUUUCAGGUACAAAAGGUUAAAUAAAUUUUAUAAUACUUCUUGUUAAGCAAAUAAAUUCACAGAAUAAGUUUAAAUAACUUUUAUAAUAUGCAACAAGUAUUUUAUGAAUAAUUAUAUAAAUGAUUAGAUACUUGUAAUGACAGAUAUCAAGUAUAAUAAAUUAAAUAAUUUAAAUAAUACUUGAUAUAAUAAAUAAAUUUGUUAGACUCAAAAAUAUAUAUAAUAUUAUACUUUAUCUAUCCUGUGAAUAUUAAAUAAAGCCACUUAGAAUUUCAAACACCGUUGGAAUGAUAUUUAUGUUUAAAGAAUCUCUCCAAAUAUUAGUAUAUAAAAUUGACCGAAUUUAAAGUUUCACUAUUAAUAUUUGUAUAAAUAUUUUCGAUAGAUCACUUAGAAAUUCAAAUACCGUUCGAAUAAUAUUCUUGUUUAAGGAAUACCUCCAAAUAUUGGUAUCUAAAACUGAUCUACUUUACAAUAUUUAUAUAAAUAAAUUAUAUCAAUAAAGAGUUGCUAGAACUUUAAGCACCAUUUGAAUAAUAUUCUUAUUUAAGAAAUAUCAUCAAAUUACGGUAUCUAAACUGUCAUUUUUAUUGAUAUGAAUAGAUGAAAUAUAGAUGUAUAUAAAUGUGUAUAACAAUUUAUAUUUGUAUAUCUAUAAUUAUAAAGAGGUAUGAGAUAAUAUAAAUAAAUUAAUUAAAUGACUUAUCUCAAAAUACUUUGACUAAUUUUUCUCUUCUUUAAAAGAUCAGAACUUUGAGUAGAAGAGUUAAAACUUUUUAGAGAUAGAAUAUGUAGGCAAAUAGAGUAUAAGUUUUUCUUAAUCUUUGGAAAUUGGCAACUAACAAAUGAGAAAAGCUCUCAUAUUUAUAGGAGUUUUUUGAGCUGAGAGCAAUUUUGUCAUUUAGGAAAUUAAUUUGAAAUCAAUGGCUCGGAAGAAUUGUUUGAAAGAGGAGAGGUUCGGAUGAGAGACAACACACGGAUUUGCAGUAAAAAAAUUCCGGAUGAGAAUGAAAUUGUCUUCAACAUUUGCCAUCACAUGUACAUAAUUAAUGCACUCAUUAUUUGGUCAAGACAAAAUCCUCCAGCAGUGCUGUCUAUUCAAUAAAUACACAUCUUCCUUUUGAUUUUUGUUCCUUUACUUAGGCACACAUAUAUAUCACUCUCAUUCUCAAGUUCAAAAAAAAUGUCAGUAUUCGGUCUUCACCAAACCCUCUCAAUUAAUUUUAUUCCUUCAUGGUCCCAUAAAUAAAUCAAACACAUUCCAAGCUUUCAAUUCAAAGACUCCAAUUUCUGUUAAACAAAGAAGGCUAUGGCCUUUUGUUUAUUUUGGGCUUUUAUGCAAAAAAUAACAUAUAUAUCAUAUAUUAUUUUGAAAGCUUUAUUGAAGAAAAAUCAUUUAAGAUAUAAGAAUUCUCCUUGCCUUAAGAAAUGUUGUUUUAUGAAUUAAUUUCUUUAGCACUUUAUAUUAAAUUAUCAAGAUUAAAAAAAUCAAUUCAAUAAGAUUUAGAAAAUAUUUUUGGUCAAACUAAAUAAGAAAAUUAAAACAAUUAUAAUAUAAAUUAUAGAGAGGAUUUUACCCUUUUAAAUAAUCUAUUUACUAAUUAUUGUUAUCAUCAAAAUAAACCUAAAAGUUGAAGACCCAACAGUUGAUAAGAUGCAUUUGAUGGAAUAAUAUGUUGAAGUUUUUCUACUGUAUUUGUUUUAUGCAGAUAUUGGAAUGGAAAAAUAACGGAAAUGCUAUUCUUCCUGGAGUUAUCAGUCUUUCAGCUGGUCUAUUGAUGUGGGUGACAUCCCUUCCUCCAGUGAGAAGGAAAAAUUUUGAAUUGUUCUUCUACACUCACCAACUAUACGUAGUCUUUGUCGUCUUCAUGGCCCUGCAUGUUGGAGAUUAUAGUUUUAGUAUAGCUGCUGCAGGAAUCUUCCUCUAUAUGCUUGAUCGAUUUCUUCGAUUCUGUCAAUCCCGAAGGACUGUUGUCAUACUUUCAGCUAGAUGCCUUCCUUGUGGAACAGUUGAGCUAGUUCUUUCAAAGCCUGCAAGUAAUGAUACUUCUUCAUGGAUCAAUUGGAUCCUUUUGUAUGCUUUAUUACCAUAUCUGUAACUUCCUUUUACAAUGUAGGUCUGCGGUACAAUGCUCUCAGUUGGAUUUUCCUUCAAGUUCGAGAAUUAUCUUGGCUGCAGUGGCAUCCUUUUAGUGUUUCCUCCAGUCCUCUAGAUGGUAAAUAUCAUCUUGCUAUUCUCAUCAAGGUUCUAGGUGACUGGUCAGAGAAACUAAGAGUAAGUAUUGGAAAUGUUUCUGAGGAGGGAUUUCAAAAGGAGCCACUCUUGCAGCCUCAUUUUAACAUAAAGGCUUCUGUAGAGGGACCUUAUGGGCAUGAAUCUCCAUAUUAUUUGAUGUAAGUACUCUACUAUUUGAAUCAGAUACAUGUGCCUACCAGAUGGGGGCCUGGACACAGUGCUGUAGUUUCAUCCUAUAUCUAAAUGUUAAACGAUAACAGAGAGGAAAAAAGAAGAAAGAUAACUCUGAUGCUACUGGUGAUUUUUAUUAAACAUUUUUAACUACUUAAAGACAAGUUUUGCUUCUGAUUUAAAAUCUUUUUACUGUAUAUUUAUGUAAAUUAUAUGGCUGCACCAUAUAUUUUUCAAAUGGUCGUGCAGAGGAGAAAGUAAGGUGACAGGAAAACCCCACACACAAAGGUAUCCUGAGUUGUCUUUCUACAUGUUUUAAUGCAUUAUGAAUGUAUGCCGCAGUGGAUCAUCUAUUUUCCUUAUCUAAGUUUAGUAUAUUUUUCUAGUGGAUUUACUAGUUUUUUUCCCAUUAGGUAUGAAAACCUCAUUUUAGUCGCAGGCGGCAUUGGAAUAUCUCCUUUCCUGGCUAUCUUGAAUGAUAUUCUUCGCCGUAUCAAUGACUGUAAACCUUGUCUACCAAAAAAUAUCUUGAUAGUUUGGGCUGUGAAAAAAUCGAAUGAGCUUCCUCUUCUACAUGCAGUUGAUUUAGAGUCAAUCUGCCCAAACUUCUCCAAUACACUGGACCUUGAGAUUCAAACUUAUGUCACUCGAGAAUCGGAACCUUCACUGGUAGGUCGUUUAGUUGCAUGAUCAUUCUUUUCUGGAUUUUUUUUUAUAUAUUCUAAAUGAGUUAUUUGUAUUCUGAGACAUGACUUCGUAACUGCAGGAAGAGGGUGAAAUUCACAAAUCUUUUAACUCUUCUGUCUUCCAUGCCUCCAAGGAAUAUGGAAUGUCUGUAUUGGUUGGUACUGGAAAUAUCGUAUGGUCUGGAAUUUAUGUUAUGGUGUCCACAAUUGGCUUGGUGAUUUCUGUGGCUUUAAUAGAUGUCUAUUACAUAAAUCCUUUUAAUAUAACUUACUGGUGGUACAAAGGGCUUCUACUUAUAGCUUGCAUGGCUGCAAGUGUUCUUAUCUUUGGAGGUCUAGUGAUUGGCUUAUGGUAUCUUUGGGAAAGAAAAGUGUCCGGAAGGGAGGAAUCUGAGGAUGAUGAGACGACUGGAAGCAUGCAGCAUAAUGAGCCUGUUAUGGACAAGGAUUUACACAACAAAUGUUUUCCCAGUACUAUCCUGUAUGGUAAAAGACCAGAUUUUGAAGGUAUGUCCCGAUAACAUUUUAUUUUUUAAAAGGAUAAAAAAUAGAAGGGGAAAAUGCAAUAUGAUUUACGAGUGGCCUUUGGCCUAGUGGUAUGACCAAACUCAUGUUUACCAUGAGGUUGGGGGUUCGAGUUGUGGGCGUGUGUGUGUGGUGUGUGUUCAAACUAUCAAAAACAGAAGAAAAAAAGAAGAAGAAAAUGCAAUAUGAUUUCCAUCUUCAUACUUGAAAAUAAAGUGGAGUACUAGUGAAAUGUGGGACUUUCUAUGCUAAACAUGAAUAUUACAAGUGUUUUCUUGAGAAAAUUCAAGUAUAUGAAAUUUUCAAACCUUUAACUUUUAGAUUUCUCUCCAUACUUUCUUGCUUGAUUUCCCUUUAAGAUGAGCAUCUGAGAGAAAACAUUGAAUAGAAUCAGCACUCUUAAUGCCAAGAUCCGACCGCUCGCUAAAUCACCUGACAACGAACGAAAAACAUGCACAGGGAAUAAACAACCACACUGAGAAGCUUCACGGCCGGGGCUGUCGGAGGAUAGUUCGAGUGUGAGAAUAAGUACGAGUCAGAAACGUUAACAAUGGAGGUAUUUGAUUGUUUUAGUGCGUAAAAUAAGGUGUGCCUGAAACUUGAAUUAUAGUCAUGUAUUUAUAGUAUACCCACACCCCUUGAUGUACUAUGCCCGUCCCCGAGUAAGAAUAAGACCUUACUCUUUAUAACUGCAGAUACCAUAUUUAAAUAGGAUUCGAUCUCCUUAGGAAUGGGAAGUCAAAGUCAACUCGGACUGUUCAACCUUGAUAACGCCAAAUCUCCUAUUCAAGUAUAUUGCCACGUGGCGUGGAUCCUACCAAAUCGUUCGGAACCACAAAAUCAUGUCCGAAGAAGCACCAUGUAUUAUCGUAAAGGUGGAGGAUGAAUAACAUUAAGAGUAGAGCAAGUAAAUUACUAGUUUGUUUGGUUAUCCUUUUUAGAGGUGUUAAACGGGUUGGAUCGGGCUGAGUUCCGGCCGGGCUAAUGAUGGGCUGGGUUAAAAUGGCUUGGGUUUUGGUGGGCUGUUAAAGUGAGGCCCGUGGUCCGGGUUGGGCCGGGCCGGGCCGGGCCGCGGGGUUCUUCCUUUAUUUAUUUAUUUUUGCAAAAUCUUGAUUUGUUUUCUGUUAAUUAAGCUUAAUUACUAUUUAUGAGCAUUAAUGAUAAUAAGCUAUCUGAAAUGAAACAUCUUUAUUUGGAUAUAGCAUAAAAAGUUACGAAAAAGUUAAUUACAUCAUUUAAUUAACAGAAAACAAAUCAAUUAAAAAUAAGCUUAAUUACUCAUGUUCUUAACAAAUUAUGGACGGAUAUAAUUAGCUAUAAGGUUCUGAUUUACUGAAAUCCAAUUGGAAAAAUUUAAAAGACUAUUUUCUUCUAUGAUGAUCAAAAAAAGAGUUCUCCCUAAUAUUUAAUAUUUAUAUGCUUAUUAUUUACUUUUUGAUUAAUUAUUUGAUGCACAUUCUAAAAGUACAAUAAUAAAUUUAAAAAUACCUUUUACUGAUUAUGAGAACAUGUUUACAAUAAUUCUGUCUUUCCUUUUUAAUUCUGUCACAUAUUAUCCCUAUACUCUGACCGACCAAUUAAAUACCAAAUAAACUUAGGUAGGUNNNNNNNNNNNNNNNNNNNNNNNNNNNNNNNNNNNNNNNNNNNNNNNNNNNNNNNNNNNNNNNNNNNNNNNNNNNNNNNNNNNNNNNNNNNNNNNNNNNNCUACAUAUCUCAUUAUUUUUAUACAAUAUGAUACAAAAUACUAAAGCAUAAUUGAAGCAUUUCAUUCUAAAUCAAUUGAGGAAAUGAGAAUUUGAAUUAUUUUAUAAGAGAAAUAAAAGAGAGCAAAGUGAUGAAGACUGACGAGACUGAUAAUUAUAAAUAACUAAAAAAUAUUUAUUUUAAUUAAAAGUCAAACCAACAUAGUAGUACAACAUUUAAUUAUUCGAAAAAAAAGGAGUUGAAAUUUGAUAUACCGAUAUUUUAUUAAUAAGUUAUCAUAAUUUUAAACCGUUUAUAUACAUAAAACAUCAAUCAAUCAAUUCAAUAAAAAUAGUGACCAACAUUUCCAAAUUCAGUGGACUAAUUUAUCAAACUCUUUAUCUGUUAGAUUUCGUGCAAAAAAUAGUUUAUUUAUAGUCCACAAACAUGCUUCAAUUAUUUUUAUAUUGGAGAUUGCAUUAAAAAUAAACAGUUGUUGUAGCUUAGUUGGUUUGAACUCUUAUUUAUUUACUUACAAGUCUUGUUUUCAAGCCUCAUAACCCACAAGUAGCAAUAUUUUGUUAAAAAAAACAAAAGAAGUGGCGGGCCACGGGCUGGACUAAAAACGGGUGGGCCAAAAAAGCCCAGAUUUUAGUGAGCUAAAAAAUGUAGCCCAAAGCCCAGCCCGUGGUGAGCGGGCCGGGCCGGCCCGCGCGCCUGGGCCAUCUUUGCCAGGUCUAAUCCUUUUGCUGUCGUAAAAUCCAAGAAGCAACCCCUUUGAUCGAGAAAGAUUAAUAAUAAAUUUUCAGAGCAACUUAUUUUAGUUUGUUAAGUUGAACAAAAAUACUAUCUGUAUGUUGGUAAAAAUACCUUUUGAUCUUUUAGGCCGGGUUUCUUGACUCUACUAAACUCAUUCUUUCUGCAGAAAUUUUCGGAUCCAUGUCAGAAAGGUGGCAAAAUGUUGAUGUUGGUGUCAUUGAGUGUGGUCCUCCAACUCUUCAAACGAGUGUUGCUAAAGAAUGCAGGACACUUAAUUUUGGGAGAAGAAGAAGCAAUAACGUCCCAAUCUUCCAUUUUAACAGUCACAGCUUUGACCUAUAGCUUCAUCCAGACUUAUAUCUUCUGAAUUCACUAAGACACAGACAAGAAUGUCCCUAAUAAUGGAAAGUUGGUCUUGUGUUUUAUAUAUAUAUAUAUAUAUAUAUAUAUAUAUAUAUAUACACGAAAAGGAUCAAGUGCAUAGUCCUUUAUGUAUAUAUAGGCUCAAAAUUGUUUAUAUAUAUAGUAGGUCUGUAAGUCUUAUAAUUUGGAAGGGGUAGUCGGGCAGGUAUUGUUUAGGAGAUUUGUAGUUGAUAAUCAUCUGUAGGUCUGUUGUGCCACCUUGUAUACUUCUAGCUAAUAUCUAUAGUUAUAGUUGUAUAUCUAUAUUGAUAAGUGCUGAAUUAUAUCACAAGAAGAAAAAAAUCUUAUUUCUAGUGAAAAUUUAUGUCAGACUUAACCAUUUUUAGUCGAAAAAUAGGUUAAAUCCGAUGGAAAGUUCUGAAUUAUAGUGGUCGAAAUUAAUUCCAUUGAGAAUUAUGUCGGGAUUAUUAAUUGUCAGAUAAUUAAUUUCAACAAACAUUCCAUCGAGUUUAAUAGAAUGUCCGUCGGAAUUAAUUGUGUAGCGGUUGCCCUUUUCUAUAUAUGUUUGCACAAACUUGAAGAGAUUAUUUUAUUUUAUUUUACUAUCUAAUAAAUAUUAACUCCAACUAUUAUUUUGUCAUUGUAGAAAAUAGUUUCAUGUUUCGUUAGUCUGAAAUGCUGAACGAUUUUAAUGGUUAAAUUUUUAUUAUUUACUAAUUCAUUUAAAAAAUCUGAACUGAUUUUUUUUAACCCAAUAAACACUGUUAAGAUAAAAAAUAUAUAUAGCUCAAAUACUUUUAUCCCUUGCAACCUUGUGUCAAAUUAAUAACAUUACCUUCAUAUUUUCAUUUAACAAUAUUAUAAAUAGACUGGCAAACAAGCCGGGCCACGGGCUGGUCUAAAACGGCCCAAGUUUUGGUGGAUUAAAAAAAUGAAGCUCAAAACCUGCAUUUUGACGGGCGGAUCGGGUCAGUCCGCGGGCUUGAACUGAUUUAUGACUAAAUUUUGACAUAUUUAUUGGCCGAGCCAAACGAGCCGGGCCAGACCAGGCCAUUGACAGGCUGGGCCAAAACGGCCCAGAUUUUGAUGAGCUAAAAAAAUAAAAUUCAAAACUCGCAUUUUGAUGGACGGACCGGACCAACCCGUGGACUUGAGCCAAUUUUUGCAAAGUCUAAUUAUACAUAUGCAAUUUUAUAUAUUAAUUAAAACAUUAAUGAAAAAUAGAGUCUCUUGAUAUAUCUUACGAUAAAAAUAUUUUGAUUUUUGUUAAUAGUCCGUUAAAAAUGUCAUGAUAGAGCACAUGCCAUUAAACUAAUCUCUCGAAAAAUUAGUCAACGUGUGAAUAAAUUUAUAAUGCCCCCAAAUUCGUUUACUUUCUAAUACAUUCAUCACACUUAAUGGUCAAUCAUCAUUUCCUUAUACAAUCACUACCUCUCAUUUCCUUGUAUAUUAAUUUUAUGUUAUUAUACUUGAGAUAUAAAUAUUAAUCUGAAAUAUCUUGUUUGUUUUUAAAUUUAGAUUUAUGAUUAUUAGUCUAAGAAUUAUAAAAUAAUUUAUUAGUCUUGACAUUAUAAUUAUAAUCCCGAGAUUAUAAUAUUAGAAUUAAUAUUCUUGAGAUUAUAAUUUCAUGGACUAUAAUCCUUAAAUUAUAAUCCUUACAAACAAACAUAGCCCAGGUCUCAAACCUAACAUUUACACUAGGUUCGUUUACAAUAAAGUACACGCAAAUGAAAUUACAUAUUUCCACAUCUUUGUUCCUUACACAAUUUAACACUUGAUUACAUCAUACGUAUCUUAUAACAUUACAAAAAUUAGUAUAAACAUAGCAAAACUGCUACAUCAAUAUUAUCUAUCCUUAGACUUUACUAUUCCCUUCUCUUUAUCUUUAACUUCGGAUCUUUUUCGAUCUUUCGCCUUAUGUGAAAAUUUAAAUAGAAUGCAAGGGUGAGCAACUGAGCAUACCAAAUUUACUCAACAAGUUUAAAAGAUUUUAGAACAUAAGAACGAGUAUAAGUUUCAAUUAUAGAAUUAACAUCACACAUAAUGGUAAAACUGAUGAUUCAAAAAAAAAAAAAGAAUCAACAACAAUAACAUCACAAAAAUCUUGCUUUGGAUUUCAGAGUUUAUGGAAUUCAUCACAUCGUUAUUCACAAGGAUUUCAAUAUUUUUAGAGAGGUAACUGAGUGGUUGUAGGGACCAAGAAUUGAUUAUAAUGUUCAUCAGUCAAAGACUGAGAACUCUCUAGUGUGUUCAAUAAUCACAAAGAUUGUAAACUCUUUGAUAUGUUCAACAAUCAUAAAUAUUGUGAACUCUCCAUAAGGUAUUAUUAGGUGAUCAGUCUAACAUCAUCUCCAACUUAUGACUUCAUCAUAUCUGCACCGUAUUUUAACAGUGCGUCGAUGAUUUCAUCAUUUUUUCACCGUAAUUCAAUGAUAAUGGUCGAACACUCCCCUAUAUAGGGUUGUUCAACUCAGUUAAUACCAUCGGGAAUUCGCACCAAGAAAAAUUUGGUGCGGAGUAUUCAACUUAUCUUUAAGGAAUUUAUUGAAAUUCAAACGGUUAGUAAUCAUUCAAACAUGAACAAUUUGUUGACAGAAUUUAGCUGAAACAAAUGACAUCAACUCUUUAAUAUGCAUGUAUCUCCAUAGUACAAUUUCAACAAUUGAAAGAAUGCAAGAAACGCAUUACGAAGAAUUUAAAGAAUUCAAGAGAACUUGUUGAUUUAGCUGUUUAGUCUCGUAUCCUUUUUAUAUACUCAAUUUUGAGUCGGCUACAGUGUUAUGAAAUAUUAAUUCCCUCAUAAUAAUAUUAACAUUUGUCGGUUACUUCCCGUAAUUAUAUUUUAAUAUUAGUUACGCCUUUAAACCUAUUUUGAAGGUCACUUUCUAUCCAUUAUUGUAUUUCGACACUCAAAAAUUUAUUUUUCUGAAAACUUUAGUCUCAUGGCUUAGUUUUAACUUAUAUUCAUCAAUAAAUUUUUAUUACGCAAUUUUUUUGCUCACUUAAACAAUUUUUUAUUAAUUUUCCCGUUGUCCGAACCUUGCACAAGUCAUACUUGCCGAAUUAUUUUGGUCAAACUCUUUGUACUAGGGCUAGACAUACUCAUUUUAUAAUUCCUUUGAAAAUUUCAAAAAUUUUCCGAGUACGUUUAUUAAGUUGUUUCUGUUCAAAUUUUCAAUAAUCUUCAUAAUUAGAAAUUAAAUCCAAAAAUUAUUAAUUAUGGAUAAUAUUUUCCUUAAAUUAGAAUACACUUUCAUCUAAAAUUCCUUCAUUACACGUCCGUUUACGUUCAUUCAUGAGUUGAAAUACACUUUAUACUACCAGGUUUCAUACUUUAAAAGCACUGAUUUUUAUUUCCCUUGUAAACUAUCCAAUACCUUCUUUUGAAAAACUAGGUCAGAAAGUUACUUAAAUUGCCAUGUUUUGCUAGAAAAUUUAUCAAAAAUAAUUUACAAGGAAAUUAAGUCUCAAACAUGUGCAUGAUUUUAGCUGACUUACAAAGCUAUCAUUCCCAAUAAACCUUACUCAAAAAUUCGAAAUACACUAAAAGUUCUGAUCAUUACAAAAUCAGGCCCUGGUUUAGGAUUUUAUCCCUAUUUUGCUCAAAACUUCAAUAAAGUUUGUUUUAAAUUUUCUUUUCUUGUUGUUAGAAAUGGGUUUGGACAAAAUAAAUAUUUAAGCAUUUUGAGGCUUAAUUUAAUGUGGGACUCACACUUCGAAAAUAUCAAGUCUUUGCACCAAUGCGUUCUCCUUCGCGAGGAGUAUAACGUGAUAUAUUUAUGUGUUCAAAUCCAUUAAGAAUUGAAUGAGAAAAUUGACUCCAAAGUCACCUACUUGAAAUGUUGAAAAUUGUAAAAGUCCCACAUAGGACAAAAUGAAGAAUUUAUAUAUGGGAUGUUUGCUUAAUGGAAAGGGCCCCAAGGGGCAUCCCACUUUUGUGGAAGACAGAGGACCUAGCCAAGGCUUGGUUUGAACCCACACGCGCGCCGUCGUCUGGACGGGCGGGUUGGGUCGGAAUAUAUAAUUUUUUGGACAAAAUCUAUUUCAAAUUAUCAUCACGAUACUACGUCGUUUUGCCGAACAGUUGCACGCCAACAGUAAUAUCCCAACUAAUACACCGCAGAAUUAUUCUAUAAAUAAUCCAUCUGGGCGCGCAUUAUAACAAAAGUUUAAUUUUCCUAUUCUGUUUUCCUUCCCGUUUCUGCAAAAGUUCCCGUUUCGUUCUCUGCCAAAGUUUAGACAAACACUGUGCAGUAAGUUUUUUCUUUAUUCCUUCCCAGAUUUUCUUCAUGCAUCAUUACUAUUCAUUCCUUCCAGUUUAGUACAUAACAUAGAAUUGCGUUCAAAGUGUUCUUAAUUUUGAAGUGCUUCUAAUUAAGAACUGAAAAUCCGUUUAAUUUUGGGAAGCAAUUAUUCAAUUAAUCCUUUAACACAAGUGAGGAAAUAAAUUUGCUUUAAUGAGACUUUGUGAAUUCAAAGGACUCGAAUUUAUCUAUUUUAUAUUUCCAAAAAAUUCCAACUUCAAUUUUCAAGUAAGUCUAAUAUUUUUCAUUUUAUAAUUUUGUUCUGUUUUGCUCAACUAUAUAUAUAUAUAUAUAUAUAUAUAUAUAUAUAUAUAUAUAUANNNNNNNNNNNNNNNNNNNNNNNNNNNNNNNNNNNNNNNNNNNNNNNNNNNNNNNNNNNNNNNNNNNNNNNNNNNNNNNNNNNNNNNNNNNNNNNNNNNNAAUAGACAACAAGUUUUAGAUCAACAGCUGCAGCGGAAUAAGCAAACCAAUUAGAAGAGUCAAGUAGAGCAUAAAAUCUACUAUCUUCUAUGAUUUAAAAAGUUUUUCAUCAACUUUAUCGCUGAGACUCAGCUUAAUAAAUAAAAUCAAAUCAUCCCUGCACCACGGCCAAGGAUAUUCAUAUAAUCAUCAAUGGUCAUGAUUAUACCGAAUAAAAAACGUUGUCGAUAUAUAUGCAAAAACGUUAUCUAUUUAAAAAGGCAUUUUUUUAGUUUUAAAUAGAUAACAUUUUUUUUAAAAACGUUGUGUAUGUGAAAAACACGGAGCUUAAUUUAGGCGGAAGUGAAAACUUAGAAUUAAAAAUCCUAAAUAGUUCUUUCUCUCUCAAAAGUUUUCGUAUUUCAUCUCACACUUCUCUCUUUCUCUACUCCUAAACAGUCACGAAAACUAAGGUUCAAAUGGCCAAAACCAGAGGGGAUUCAGUAUCGUUCGUCAACCAGUUCAAAGGGAAGAAGGAUCGAUAGUGGCUCCCAAGCCUAACCGUCGUUCGAAUCGGCUUCGCCAGAGAUUGGGUACCGAUUUUGGGGUUUCUUCUCAGAGCAUGAAACAUAGAGGGAAAACAUCGGGUAAAACGAUUUUGUGUGCAGGAUAUUGAACCUAGCAGAACUGAUGCCUCCGUGGUGGUGUCGGACUUCGUUGAUGGCAUCGUGAAGGAGCAGAAGUAACAGAAAGCGGGUGGAGUGAAUGAUGAUGUGGAGAUGGAUCCGGAUGAGGUGGAGAUGAUGAAGAUGAUGGGGAUUCCGGUAGGGUUUGAUUCAACCAAGGGGAAGCCCGUGGCUGGUAAUGAUGCCUAGACAGUAUAUCAAUCGUUGAUUUUUAUUUCUCAGAGGUUAGGGUUUCUUCAUUUUUAUAUUUUCAUGUAUUCCCCCUUAUUAGCAAAUUAAUUAUAUUAUACUAUUUUUCCCCUUAAUAGAAAAUUAAUUGUUAGUGAUGGAUAUAUUGAGGAGGCAACAUUAGGAAUUUCAUUUAUUUACUCUACUAUUGGAAUUGCAAAUUUGAAAAAAGGGUUUUACAUUCAAUGGGUCUAUUGAGAGUAAUCUUCAUUCAAUGGGUCUCAUGUUUUCAAGUUCAGUCUGGUCGUCGAGGCUGGAAUAUUGCAUUGCUUUAAGCUAUAGUCACGAGUGUUGGUUUUUGCAUUUCGCCGAAACGUUUUAUGCUGAAUUAAUAUGCAAUAUUGUUAUUUAGUGAUACAGCAGUUUGCUACAUUAAGUAUAUUAUACUUUAAGUAUAUUAUAAACUUCCUACUGGAGUUUUGAGUUCUAAUUUGAUUAUAAUGCAGGUAUGAUUUUAAUAAAAUCCAACUUCUUUUCAUAAGUUUGCCUGUUUGCCCUUCUCUCGACAAGUUGGGAAAUUUCUUAUAAUGGAUACAAACUUGAAGAGUUUGUACCCCAGAAAACAUCUGCUUAUAUAAGCCAAAAUGAUCAACAUAUCCCUGAGAUGACUGUUAGGGAAACACUUGAUUUUUUAGCCCGCUUUCAGGGUAUUGGAAGUCGAGCAGGUAAUCCUGCUUUGAUCACAGAGAAACUACAAUUAGUUCGAAAUCUUUAUUAGUAUAUUCUAGUACUGGUAAUUGAUGUAAUUUUUUUUUUUACUUUCAUAUAGACGAUGAUUGAGGUCAGCAGAAGGGAGAAAGAGGCAGGAGUUGUUCCAGAUCCAGAUAUAGAUACUUACAUGAAGGUAUUAUCAUCUCUACUGUUCUUCCUGUCCAAACUUCUGGAGUUAUGAGACUGUCUCACAAUGGAUAGAAUCUGUCGUCCUUUAAACAAUUCAAAUUAAUCUAGUAUGAAUUACUGCUAUGUAGCCUUUGUUUCCUUACAGAUAUCCUGAAGGGACUUCUACUGUGGUUGUUUCAAGUAGAAUUAUUACUUGAUUGUUGGAAAUAUCUCAAGAAAUUAUUGUUGGGAACAUACAACUUGCAGCUGAAACAUAUGUGAAAUUAUUUCUUGCAGAUAACAAUUCUAUCAAACACAGGCCAACCAAAACUAAGAAAUUAACAUCCCAUGUGCUUCUUUGAAUGACCAUGAUACAGACUUGAAGAAAGAAUAAUCUUAAAACUAUGACUACUUGGCCAUCAGUAAAAUUACAUAAUACUUCUUCUGCCUUUAAAAUGAUUCAUCAAUAGUUAUGAUUUAUUAGUCAUCCUGGUCAGGAAAUGCGGUAAAGCUUAAUCUGAUACCCAAAUUGGAAGGCAACCUUAACUUUGAAGUAAUGCUUCAUGUACCAGAGAUGUAGAUACUCAAUGCUAAUGCUAGAUACCUGUAUCUAGCACACUGUUGACUUCAAUAGGUCUCUGCAGUGUUUUGCUAAUGCAAUAGCUUUGUCCAUCUGCUUGAAUGUGUUGCUUAAGUAUGAUUUCUUGAAUAAGUAAUGAUGGCCUUGCCAUGUGAGACAUGUCGCCUUAAGUUCUUAGGGAAGUUAGAAGUCAUUCUUAUAAAAGAAAGAAAGGGAAAAUAAACAUCCAUCUCCAGUGCAAGUUGAUUUCCUUAUCACGAGGUUAUUCACAGGAUCGUUGAUAAGCUCUGACUUAUCACCAAAAAAAAAAGAUUGUUGAUAAUCUCUAUGCUGUUGGGAAGCUCAAGUCUAAAGAUGCUUUAACUCUGCUAACAUUUUCAGGCAAUUUCUGUUGAAAGACAAAAGGAAACUCUUUAGAUUGAUUACAUUUUAAGAGUAAUUCUUUUCAGCUGAUCUCGAGCUUAAUUUCUUAUUUUGACAAUGCAUUAUCCAUUAAUAACCUUUGAGUUCUAGUUGUGAGUUCCAGUCUGUAAGAUAUUGCCAUUUUUCACAUGUCUUUGCAGAUUUUUGGUCUUGACAUAUGCGCUGACGUACUGGUUGGAGACGCAAUGAAAAGAGGCAUCUCUGGUGGCCAGAAGAAAAGAUUGACCACAUGUAGUUUGAAUUCAGUAAUGGCAGUUUUAGUAUUACUAAUGCGAUUUCCCAAUCAAAAAAAUGUCAUUUUUAACUUCAAUUAGUAGUAUAAAUGGUGAGAAAUAAAUAUAUUUCGUGUUGACUUUGUCCAUUUCUCCCACACAGCUGAAGCAUUCCAAAUACAUGCAUAUUUAACUUUGCAAUUGUGCCUACCGGCUUUUGUUUCUGCACUACUACCUGUUAUAUUUAAUCUUAAUGAUUUUUAUAACACUGUUAUAUUUAAUCUUAAUGAUAUUUAAUCAAUUUAGGUUUAUUUAAAAGCUACUAACAGAGAUGAUGUGCUAUAUUGUGUUGCUUUUGUUGAGACGCUGUCUCUAUGACAGUGAUGAUGAGGUCAGUUGUAUUUUUAUUUGAAGUCUAUAGUUUAUGAUUCUUAUACACUGUAGUGAUAUUUUAUACUUGUUUAGAAGUUGGUGCAUAAAUUGGAUCUUCUGGUUUGUUUUCCUUGUUCAUUAUGGUUUAUUCUUUUCACAUUCACAAGCUUAUCAUUUGAUUCAAAAUUUCAAGGAUUAUUGAAUAAAGAUUGAAACUUUAAGCAUUUUUCUUGGGUAGUUGGAUGUAUAGGCUCAUGUUAUCUUCUGACUAUUGCAGUGAAUUUUGGUGUAUUGUGAAAUUAUUGAAAAAAAGUCUUACUGACAUGCAGAAGGUAUUACUCAGCUAGGUACCUUAAGGUCCACUGUAUUAGAGGCUGAAUACUAUGUAGUUUGGACAUUGUCAAUAUGAGCACUACUCUAGUAUGUAAAUGUACUUCAUGAUAUUCAUACCGAAUAAUCCCUGGUCAUAAUCAUACCAAGUCCAUCUAUGCACGUAAGCCAAAGAUGAUUUUCAUCACAAUAUAAGCAUGAGGAUGAUGACAAUGACAUAAUAAUUCAAUAAAACAAGUUCAAUGAUAAAAUUUAAAGAUUUAUAAUUUAAUUUAUCCAGGAAUCAAUAAUGUCCAAAUUGUCAACAUGAUACUGCUUUGUGAGGUAAAAUUCAAGAAUGCUCAGAAGAAUAUUUCUAUGAAAAGAUACUGGAUGAAGCGUAAAUAUCCAAGAUAUUCUACUAAUUUCAUGGAGUAUAGAAGUCAAAACUUUAACCAACUGAGUAUAAUAGAAUAUAUGAAACUGCAAAUGAAUUUUCGCCCGCCAUGCGGUAAUCCACGUAGACAGAUCAUUUCCACAAUUUAAUAAGGAAUGAAUACGAAGGAUCAUUCACCAUGCAUGCGGUAAUCCACAUAGACAGGUUAUUCUAACAGAAUAAUAAAGAAUGGAAUAACAGAAGAAUUCACCAUGCAUUCGAUAGACCGCACAGACAUGUUAUUUUAAUAGAAUAAUAAAGAAUGAAACCAGAUCAUGCGUAAUCCGCACAGACAGGAUAUUCCAACAGAAUAAUAAAGAAUGAAAUAACAACAAUAUUCACCAGGCAUGCGAUAGACUGCACAGACAGGUUAUUCCAACAGAAUAAUAAAGAAUGAAAUAACAACAAAAUUCACCAGGCAUGCGAUAGACCGCACAGACAGGUUAUUCCAACAGAAUAAUAAAGAAUGGAAUAACAGAAGAAUUUUACCAUGUAUGCGGUACUUCGCAUAGACAUGUUAUUCCAACAUAAUAAUAAAGAAUGGAAUAACAACCCUUACGAGUAUUGAAAGAAAAUAACUCUCUUCAUGAAUACGAAAGAAUAAUACCCCUUACCUUAGAAGAAAACUGGAUACUGGAAUAGUGAGGUAGCAGACUUCUCUUCUUCUUUCUCUCUAUAAUUUCUCUCUAUAAUAAUUGCUCUAUAGCUUUAGUGAAUUGGUGAGAAAUGAAGGAAGAAUGAGCUUCUAUUUAUAGGAAAAUAUAGUUUCGAUAAUUGCACGUUUUGGGGCUCGAAAUAUUACAGUAUAAUACCUUCCUCUUUUUCUUCAUUUUUAAUUUAGUCCUGCAAGUAUUAUCAAACUUGCACCACCUCCCCUAAUAGUAAAUAAUGUGAAUCAAUAGUUCAAUCAUGUGAAUCAAUAGUUAUAAUCAUGUGAAAAUACGAAUUACAGUAUAGUACCUCCAUCUAUACCUCUAUUUUUAACUUAGUCAUGCAAGUAUUAUCAAUCUUGCACCAACUCCCCUAAUAGUAAAUCAUGUGAAUCAAUAGUACACACAUGUGAACACAUAGUUAUAAUCAUGUGAAUUAAUAACAAUUAAUUGCUCAUUUAUCCGGUACCCGAUUGGUCAACAUAACCUCCAGACAUCAAUUAUUAUCUAAAUAAAUGUCGAUUUCUACUAACACUAAUAAUUCCAACACAAUGAAACUAUCAAUUUCAUCUUUAAUCAACACAAACUUAUUCAUGAUUAAUAUUAUAACUCAUAAUAUUUAACAACCAGGUCGUUCCCAGGAAAGAGGGGGCUUUCCGAUAAGGAUUUCUCCCUAUUAGCGCGCAAUUAGAUUAUCUAACCUCUCCUUGACAGAACUUAUAGACAUUGUAAAUAUUGCAAUUUAAUAAUAUGAAUAACUUUGUCAUCUCAAUUAUUGAUUUAAUAAUAUAUCGUAUUAUGCAGAUGAUACUGUGAAAAUAAUUGAAUCAAUAAUAUGAAAGAUAUGAUGCGGCAAUUACUGCAGCAAUAAUUGAGUAUAACUGAGUGUCUUCUUACGUAAGCAUCAAUAAUCAAUACCGUGUGCUACUAUGCAACCACGCGUAUUACUGUACUUUUACUACCAGGUAGUUCAACAGUUUUAACGGUAACACUUUCGCUGUUAUUUUUAUAAAAAAAUAAUUCUGUCGUUUUCUAAAUACGACAAUACUUCCGUUGUGGAGUCCACCAAUGAUUGUGCCGUCGUACGGAUAUUCCCGACAAAAAGAAUAUUCCCCGACCAAACGAAUAUUUUAUAACAACUUGCAUACUUUGCAAAAUUUAUAAAUAUUACCCACAACUAUAACAUUAUAUCAAAUCCACACCAUAAUAUUCAAAAAUAUAUUUCAAAAAAAAUAUUCUUUAUUCAUAAAAGUUGGGGUCUUACAUAUAUAUUACGGAAUAACAAUCUUAAAGCAAAUUUAAUGAUUCUGUAAUUGUAGUAUUAUUUAAUCUGUUUAUUUAUGUGAACAGAAGAUCAGUUUUAAAACAAAUUUUCUAUAGAAAUAUAAUUAUGUAGAAACAGUAUUUAAACAGAAUAAAAUUACAUAGUAUUAUGUUAAUAUAAAGUAUUCUGUUAUUAUAUAUAUUACAGAAAUAUUAUAUAUAUUACAUGUUAACUGAUUUAUAUAUUCUGUUAUUAUAUAUGUUCCAUGUUAAUUGAAUGCAUUUUAAUAUUCUGUUAUUGUUUAAAUUUAUAUGAGUAGUACAGUAUUGUGUACUAUAGGAGUAAUAAAUCAAUAAAUGCAAAUUGCAAUAGCAUGUGAUUGUCAAAACUUAUCCAACUAUAGAAUGCAAAUCUAUUAAACAGAAAUUUAUAAACAGAAUUUGGAUUUCUGCUAAACAAAAUUUGUUGCUUGAAUUUUGCAAACAAAUUUUGUUGUUUGAAUUCUGUUAAAUUUUGUAAAACAGAAAAUUUUGUUUCUAUUUAUUCAUAAUUUUCUUCUUUGUAUAACAGAAAUGACAUCUACUAGUACCAUUCCUGCCGUGAGUAUGUCUCAUGGAGAAAAGACUGAAAAGUUCAAUGGAACUGAUUUCAAGCGUUGGCAACAAAAGAUGCUCUUCUAUCUCACAACAUUGAAUUUGGCAAGGUUUCUAAAAGAGGAUUGUCCUACUCUUGUUGAAGGAGAAACAGACAAAAAAAAAGUGGCUGCAGUUGAUGCAUGAAAAUAUGUAGAUUUCUUUUGUAGAAAUUAUGUGAUGAAUGGAUUAGAAAAUACACUGUAUAAUUUGUAUUGUACAAUUCAAAUUGCAAAGAAACUUUAGGAAUCUUUAGACAAGAAAUAUAAAACUGAAGAUGGUGACAUGAAAAAAUUCAUUGUUGGUAGAUUUCUUGACUAUAAAAUGGUAGAUUCUAAAGCAGUCAUCACUCAAGUUCAAGAAUUACAAGUAAUUCUACAUGAUAUUCAUUCUGAAGGAAUGUCAUUAAGUGACGCAUUCCAGGUUGCUACAAUGAUUGAGAAACUUCCACAAUCAUGGAAAGACUUCAAGAAUUAUCUUAAGCAUAAACGCAAAUAGAUGAAUCUUGAAGAACUGAUUGUGCGACUUAGGAUUGAAGAGGACAAUCGAGGAUCUGAGAAGAAGAUUGAAAAAAAUUUCAUUGAAGCAAAGGUUAAUGUGGUAGAACAAAGGUCAAAUAAUAACAACAAAAGGAAGCGUGAAGGCAAAGAUACUUUCAAGGCCAAGAAAAAAUUCAAAGACAAAUGCUUCAACUGUGGCAUUCCAGGACAUAAAUCAAAUGAAUGUUGCAAGCCAAAGAAAUUCAAGAAAGAACAAAAGACUCAAGCAAAUGUGACAGAACUGGAAAAACUUUCUGAAAAUAUUUUAGACAUUAAUAUCUCCGUAGUUGUAUCUGAGUGUAACUUAAUAGGAAACCCCAAAGAAUGGUGGGUGGACACUGGGGCUACUCGCCAUAUUUUUUCCAACAAAUGGAUGUUUUCUACCUACAAACCAGUAGAAAAUGAUGAGCAACUCUUCAUGGAAAACUCCUCAAGUUCAAAGGUUCAAGAACGUGGAAAGAUUGUACUGAAAAUGACAUCUGGCAAAGAACUGACUUUGAAUGAAGUGUUUCAUGUGCCAGAUAUCCGCAAAAAUUUAGUUUCUGGGUCACUACUUAGCAAGAAUGGCUUCAAAUUGGUGUUUGUGUCUAAUAAAUUUAUACUUACCAAAAAUGAUGUUUGUGGAAAAGGGCUAUAUGUUUGAUGAGCUCUUUAAGAUGAAUGUAAUGACUGUUGUACCAAAGUCUAUUGAUAAUAAUAAAAUUAAUUCUUCUGCUUACUUGUUAGAAUCUUCAAAUAUAUGACAUGCUAGAUUAGGACAUGUUAAUUAUAAUACAAUACGUAGAUUAAUUAAUUUAGAAUUCUUGCCUAAAUUUGAUAUUAAUCAAAAAAAUAAAUGUGAAAUUUGUGUGGAGUCAAAAAUGACAAGAUUACCUUUUCAUUCUGUUGAAAGAAAAAUUGAACCUCUAGAUUUAAUUCACACUGAUAUAUGUGACUUAAAGUUUGUGCAAACAAGAGGUGGAAAAAAAAUAUUCCGUUGCCUUUAUUGAUGAUUGCACAAGAUAUUGUUAUGUAUAUUUGCUGAGAAGCAAAGAUGAGGCUAUAGAAAUGUUUCAACUUUAUAAAAAUGAAGUUAAAAAUGAACUUAGCAAAAAGAUUAAAGCAAAAAGAAGCGAUAGAGGUGGUGAAUAUGAAUCACCAUUUGAAGAGAUAUGCUCUACUCAUGGUAUUAUUCACCAAACUGCCGCACCUUAUUCACCUCAAUCUAACGGUAUUGCUGAACGCAAGAAUCGAAAAUUGAAAGAAAUGUUGAAUGCUAUGUUAACUAGUUCUGGAGCACCCUAGAAUUUGUGGAGGGAAGCUUUGCUUUCUGCAAAUUAUAUUCUUAACAAAGUGCCUCAUAAGAAAACUCACAAAACACCUUAUAAAUUAUGGAAAGGUCAUAGACCUUGCUAUAAAUACUUAAGAGUGUGGGGGUGUGUAGCAAAAGUGAUGCUUACUAAACCUAAAAAGGUAAAGAUAGGACCAAAAAUAAUUGACUGUGAGUUCAUUGGUUAUGCAAAUAAAGUAGUGCUUAUCGUUUUCUAGUUCAUAAAUCUGAAAUUCCUGAUGUUCAUGUUAAUACUUUUGUUAAAUCAAGAGAUGCAUCGUUCUUUGAGAAUGUGUUUCCAUAUAAUAUAAAUAAAGAGUCAAAUUCAUACAAAAGACCUUUGGAUGCUACUAGUAAUAAUCCUGAAAAUAUAGACAAAAAGUCUAUAGUGGAUGAACCUAGACAUAACAAAUGGGCAAAGACUUCAAAGUCUUUUGGUCCAAAUUUUCAAAUAUUUUUGUUAGAAAACGAUCCUUAAACAUACAAGGAAGCAAUAUCCUCUCCAGAUGCUUCUCAUUGGAAAGAAACAAUUAAUAGUGAAAUUGAGUCCAUUAUGCACAAUUAUACAUGGGAAUUGGUGAAUCUUCCACCUGGUUCCAAACCCUUAGGAUAUAAAUGGAUAUUCAAAAAGAAGAUGAAAGUUGAUGGUUCAAUUGAUAAAUAUAAAGCAAGGCUUGUUUUUAAAAGCUAUAGACAAAAGGAAGGAUUGAAUUAUUUCGACACUUAUUCACUAGUUACAAGAAUUACAUCUAUUCGUAUGCUAAUAGCAAUAGCAUCAUUAAAUAGACUUGAAAUACAUCAAAUGGAUGUAAAAAAUGCAUUUUUAAAUGGUAAAUUAGAUGAAGAAAUAUAUAUAGAACAACCUGAAGGUUUCAUUGCUCCUGGACAAGAGAGGAAAGUAUGCAAACUUGUUAAAUCCUUGUAUGGAUUGAAACAAGCACCAAAACAAUGACAUGAGAAAUUUGAUAAUGUUAUAUUAACAAAUGGAUUUAAAAUCAAUGAGUGUGACAAAUGUGUUUAUGUCAAAAGCACUCAUAAGGAAUAUGUUAUUGUUUGUCUUUAUGUGGAUGAUAUGUUAAUCAUGGGUAGCAACAAUGAAGUUAUCAACUCUACCAAAUGUAUGUUGUCAAAUAAAUUUGAUAUGAAAGACUUGGGGGUUGCGAAAAUAAUAUUAGGAAUCAAGAUUUCCAGAAUAUCUGAUGAAAUUAUAUUAUCUCAAACUCAUUACAUUGAAAAAUACUUGAAAAAUUUAACAAGUAUAAUAUAAUUCUAAAUAAGAUCCCAGUUGAUAUAAAUCUUCAUUUAGCCAAAAAUAAAGGUGAUAGCAUAUCUCAACUAGAAUAUUCUCGUAUAAUAGGCAGUUUAAUGUAUGUCAUAAACUGUACUAGACCAGAUAUAUCUUAUUUGGUAAGUAAGCUAAGUCGGUAUAUGAGUAAUCCAGGUAAAGAUCACAGGAAAGCUAUUUUUAGAGUUUAGGGAUAUUUAAAACAUACUCAAAAUUAUGGACUGCACUAUACAAGAUAUCCAACAGUAUUGGAAGAAUAUAGUGAUGCUAAUUGGAUAUCUGAUAAUAAAGACUCAAAAUUCACAAGUGGAUAUGUCUUUACCCUUGGAGGUACAGCGGUAUCUUGGAAAUCCUCAAAACAAAUGUGUAUUGCAAGGUCUACAAUGGAAUCAAAAUUCAUUGCGUUAGACAAAGCUAGAGAAGAAGCAGAGUGGCUUCGCAAUUUCCUAGAGGAUAUUCCAAAUUGGUCAAGACCUGUGCCAGCUAUAUGUAUACACUGUGAUAGCCAAUCAGCAAUUGGAAGAGCACAUAGUCAUUUAUAUAACGGUAAGUCACGCCAUAUACGACGAAGACAUAAUACCGUUAGACAAUUGCUCUCAAAUGAAAUUAUCUCAAUUGACUAUGUAAAGUCAAAAGAUAAUAUUACAGAUUCGCUUACAAAAGGUUUAACAAGAGAGCAAGUGGAAAGUUCAUCGAAGGGAAUGGGUUUAAAGCCUAUUGUUUAAAUAAGAGUCGUCAUAGUGGCAACCCAACCUAGCUGACUGGAGAUCUCAAGAUCUAGGUUCAAUGGGCAAACCGAACUAUGUAGUACUGAGUAAAUCAUUGAGGAGAUAUUUACUCCUAACCAUUCCUAUUAUGAGACAGUGCACAUCUGCCGCGAGAACCAGGAUAAGUUACAUUUUUAAUGACUUUUAUAUCUUGAAAUACGUUCAAAUGGAGUAUUGCAGAAUACUUUUGAUAGAAUUUACCUACGUGAGUAAAAAGGGGGCCACUUCUAUGAGAAUUUGAAGGCUGAAUUCUCUAAUAUACUCACAGAACCAAGAGGUGUUUCAAGGCCAAAAUGAACACAAACGUGAGAACCAAUUAUAUCUGAAGAAAUAUUUUUUGAAUUCUAUUGUCUUGAUUUACACGAAAAAACUAACAGUUCAAAGACAUCAAGUCUACUGAUUAGCUUAGUAAAUCCGAUAGACUUUACUAGGGCAAGUUCAAAGCCACUAGGCUACUUAACCCGAUGAAGUAUCUUUUCUCAUGUACUCGAACUAGUAUCUGCAUAUUCAUAACAUUUAUUUAUUUUUCUCUUUUUUUCCAUGUUGUAAAGUCAAUUUUACAUUCAUGUGGGGGAUUGUUGGAAAUGAGUUUGGACAAAAUAAAUAUUUAAGCAUUUUGAGGCUUAAUUUAAUGUGGGACCCACACUUCGAAAAUGUCGGGUCUUUGCACUAAUGCGUUCUCCUUCGCGAGGAGUAUAACAUGGUAUAUUUAUGUGUUUAAAUCCAUUAAGAAUUGAAUGAGAAAAUUGACUCCAAAGUCACCUACUUGAAAUGUUAAAAAUUGUAAAAGUCCCACAUAGGGCAUUAGAGGAAAAAAUGAAGAAUUUAUAUAUAGGAUGUUUGCUCAAUGGAAAGGGCCCCAAGGGGCACCCCACUUUUGUGGAAAGCAGAUGACCUAGCCAAGGCUUAGUUCGAACCCACACGCGUGCGCCGCUGCCGUCCGGACGGGCGGAUUGGGACGUGAUAUAUAAUUUUUUGGACAAAAUCUGUUUAAAAUUAUCAUCACAAUACUACGUCGUUUUGACGAACAGUUGCACGCCAACGGUAAUAUCCCAACUGAUAAACCGCGAAAUUAUUCUAUAAAUAAUCCAUCUGGGCGCGCAUUAUAACAGAAGUUUAAUUUUCCCGUUUUGUUUUCCUUCCCUUUUCUGCAAAAUUUCCCGUUCCGCUCUCUGCCAAAGUUUAGACAAACACUGUGCAGUAAGUUUUUUCUUUAUUCCUUCCUAGUUUUUCUUCAUGCAUCAUUACUAUUCAUUCCUUCCAGUUCAGUACAUAACAUAGAAUUGCUUUCGAAGUGUUCUUAAUUUUGAAGUGCUUCUAAUUAAGAACUGGAAAUCCGUUUUAUCUUGGGAAACAAUUAUUCAAUUAAUCCUUUAGCACCAGUGAGAAAAUAAAUUUGCUUUAAGAAGACUUUAUGAAUUCAAAGGACUCGGAUUUAUCUAUUUUAUAUUUCCAAAAAAUUCUAACUUCAAUUUUCAAGAGUCUAAUAUUUUUCAUUUUAUAAUUCUAUUUUGUUUUACUUAACUUUUUGUUAUUAUAUAUAUAUAUAUAUAUAUAUAUAUAUAUAUAUAUGUGUAUAUAUAUAUAUAUUACAGAAUAACACUUGUUACUAUUAGGAUUUUUUUAUUUUCUUUGCCAUGGUCCAUGUUAUCACAUUCUAACAUGUUAUUAUUUACUUUUAGCAUAUACAAAUUCAUAUACAUACAUAUUUAAUCCAUAAAAUAUAUCUUAGGAAUUAGUUUAGGGUUUUAACUACUCUCGAAACUGUUUAAUUCAUAAUUAAUUUCUCUAGAACUCCGAUUGUGGUCCAAUUUUUGGCAGAACCUCCCCUAUAAUAUCAUUUUUCUCUACUUAGGAGUCCAGGGUCAGCCUUGCCCUCAAACUCCACCACAAACAAGCAAUUUAAAUUCUGCCAUGUUCAGAUCAGCCUACUUACGGAAUUCAUAAUUAGAAGAAUUCCCAAAUUCUCAGAAAACGUAGCUAACUUUCAUGUCUAUAACAUAUAAAAAAAUCAGAUUUUAUCUCCUUAUGGUUUAGGAGUUAUAACUUUCAUAAAAAUAGGACAGAAACUGCCUUGUUUUCUCUUUUUUAAGUUUUUCCAAGUUUGCUUGUUUUAUAUUUUUGAUUUCUCUUUCAUGAUCCAAGGUUACAUACCAUUAACAUCUUUACAUGUUAAAAGUUUCAAAGAUUUCAUAAGGAAAAAAUUUACAAAAUUUUCUAUGAAUGAAAAGUGAGUUAAUUUAGGGUUUACCUUACCUAGCUACUUUAGUUUUUCCUUUCUUCUUCUCCUCCUUGCGUCCUAACUUCAAACCUUCUCUUCUUUCUCUGUUUUGUGAGCGCUCUUCUCUCUCUCUCUUGUUUCAGCGGCGCUUGGUGAGGGGUGUGUAUGGGUUUAUUUUCAUUUUUCUUUUGGGAUAAGCUUUGAUCUCAAAAUAUCUUGGGAGGCUUAUUGGAGAAGCCUCCUCCCCCCUAUCCUUAUCGCUUGGCUGAAAUUUGUAUAGUAUCUCUAAUUCUUUCUC
rnacentral:lncRNA from 1 species